UGGAUCUUUUCUCUCUCUCUCUCAUAUGAUGGUCCUACAACUCUUUUAUGGCCACCUGAGAUGAGCCAAUAUUCCUUUAAUUAAUUGUGAACACACCCCUCUCUCCAUAUAUAUAUAUAUAUAUAUAUAUAUAUAUAUAUAUAUAUAUAUAUAUAGAGAGAGAGAGAGAGAGAGAAAGAGAGAGAGAGGUGGACUGGGCUACUAUUAAUAUCAAAAUUUUAUUAUUGCUAUCAAUUUUUUAGCCUUUGAUAGAUAUUAAUCUUAUUUUAUAUAGUACAAAGAAUUUUCUAUCAAAAUUUCACUUGAUUUACCGUUAAACUUGCAACCGGCUCACCACGGCCGUUAAAAUUAUUGAUUUUGAGCCCCUUCGAUCACUAGGCAAAUGAUAUCUAAAAAUCGCAAAAUUUAUUUCUAGGUACUUCAAAUACUCUAGAUCAAGUCUAACGAAGCUGAUCGUCGAUUCGAAAGUCCGAACAUCGAAAACAAAUUGGAAGCACGGAAGCCUCCGUGCUUCCAUAAGCAUACUAGCCGCACUCUAUAUAUAUAUAUAUAUAUAUAUAUAUAUAUAUAUAUAUAUAUAAAGAGGUUAGGGCUACUAUGCUAUUAUGAGUAUAGAGUCCUUCAUACUUAUAAAUUAUUUUCAAUGAUGAAGCUUCCGAAUCGACGAUCCACUCCGUAAAUUAUGAUCUAGAGUAUUUAAAACUUAUAGAAAAUAAAUUUUGUAAUUUUUCAAAAUCAUAAUAAAGUUCAUCAAGCGGGUAUAAAAUGAACGGUCAAAAUCGAACGACGUCUUAAAAAUGGAUAUUCGGAUUCUUCAAUUUAGGUUCGGAGUUAUUGAUCUUUAUCAAUAUAGUGAAUAGAAAUUUCUAUCAAAAAUUCAACCGAUUUCAAUUCUUUUACACCGUUAAACUAUCAAAUAUCCCACACCGGCUGUUAAAAAUUGUCAAUUUUGUGACUUUUUGAUCGUAAGAUAAAUGAUGUCGAAAAAUUAUAAAAUUUGAUUUUAGACGUUUUAAAUACUCUAAAUAAUGCUUAACGGUGUGGAUCGUCGAUUCGGAAGCUCUAUCAUAAAAAACAACUUAUGAGUACGAGGGCGAUCGUACUCAUAAGAGUAUAGUAGCUAGCCAGACUCUAUAUAUAUAUAUAUAUAUAUAUAUAUAUAUAUAUAUAUAAAGAGAGAGAGAGAUAGUCCUGCUACAAUGCUAUUAAUAGUAUAAAGUAUUUAAUGUUAUCAAUUUUCUGUCAUUAGAUCUACUCUUUUGAUCAUUUUCAUCCGUUAAAUUAUACAAUUUAAUCAACUACCAACUCAGCCCUAGGAGACUACUACCAUCCUAAUCACACAUUUUUUUCAUAAAGAGCCGAAAACCCAACGGCACAAAUGACAUGGUAAUAUUAAUAGUAUUCUUGUCUAGUUACAUAUAUAUUUAUACACAUACAUCAUUGGUUGUAGUAUGAAGUUGUGACGCUAUAAUAUUUCCACAUCAGAAGGAUAAAAAAUUGUGAAUGAGAAUAUAAGAAUCAAAGGCUCUAAUAAUAUUAAUCGGAUUUAAAUAUUUGAGUUGGUAAUUUAGAACCCAACGAAUUAUUAUGUAUUGCUAGCGGGUUGAAGCAUUGCUAUAGUAGAGUAUAGUACAAAUAUCAAUUGAGUAGCGCCUAGUAAAAAAUAUAUAUAUAAAUUAAAAGAGUCGUGUUAUUUGCUCCAAACUUAGAUAGUUGGAAUACGGAAAAAAGAUUCUUAUUAAAUCGAUCUCUUCGAAAGAAUUUCUGAGCAGCAAGAAUAUAUAGAACCACUAAAUUAGAGCUUAAUUAUAAGUAAUUUUACAUCUCAGAACCUAGCUCGUUUCUGAUCCUCAUAACAACAAAAGUAUAUAUGAGAUUUUUCUAGUGAUCAAAGACUAUACUGAAUGCGACCGUUUGCGAAAAUAUAUAGACAUAGAUUAAAAAAGCGCGUACUUUACAAAUGUAUAUCUACAAAUCUACAAUGGUGUCCAAACGAUGCAACAUGCAAAUCUAUAGGCAUUGCAUUAAUAUAAAUCACACGGCCAUUAAUUUGUCUCACAACAACUGGAAAGAAGGCACUAGCAACCCAUCGACAGCGCUUCAUUAUCUGACAAAUAUUCGAUUUAUUUUUCCUUUUUUUGAGUGGGCACCAAUGCACAAACGUAGACAUAAAAAUAUUUUAAAACUAGCCUUCGAAGAGAUAAACAAUAAUUAAAGCUGGAUUAAUGCACGAAGGAACCAAAUUCUAAGACAAAAGGUAUAUUUACAACCUGAGCAAUAUCACCAUGCAUGUAUCACAAAAGGCAUUUUUUGGCUUCGUGGGUGUCUCCGAUCCUAAUGAGUGGCUAAGGGAAUCAAAACAUGCAUGUGGGAGCCAACAUGCCCACGUAUGUGUAUUGAAUAAUAUGUUACGAUUCAUAAUUUUUCAUUUAAAAAAAAAAAUUAGACAACAAAGAGAGAGCUCAUAUCCUUGAAUAUACUUACGGUUCUAGUGAAGCAUAUAUCUAAUGAGAUAUAAAAUAAUCGCUUAACACUCUCACAAUUAUCAUCCUCAUAAUAUAUGCUGACCUUUCUACAGAUGAUUCUCUACAACAUACUGUUGUCGUUCGAAAUUAAUUAAUGAAACAAAUUUAUUUUGCGUUUGUUAAAAUCGGAACGGCGAAAAAUAGAUCCAGAAAAUAACUUAAUGCAAGAAAAGAAAAGAUAAGCGGAAAGAACACACCGAUAUUUACGUGGUUCGGCCAACGGCCUACGUCCACGGGCGAAGACGGAGCAAAUAAUUUAUUAAUGUCGAAAAGGCGGAGUACAAGGAAGAUCUCUCAAAAGACCAAAGCUUAAUUAGAUCCGAAACGCCGCAACAAGAAACUCCAAUUUUGGCUUCUCUCUUACCUAUCCGUACGGACCAAAUAAAUUUGGCCUUAAUUAGCGCAUACGGCUAAUUAGCGCACACAGCUCUCUGCAACGGUUAAUUAGAGUUGCGGCCUCUCUCCUCUUAGCCGUACGGACCUCACAACAAGCUAGACAUAAUUAAUGCUUGGCUUCUUAAUUUCGUCGCGGCGGCUUCUUGCUCGUCCGGAACCAACAUGCAUUGCUUGGCUUAAUUAGAACGUGGCAUCUUAAUUUGGUCGCGGCUUCUUUAAUUUGGCCGUAGCAUAUAUUUAUAAUACAUGUCUCCUAACUAGAGUCUAAUUCUAAUUAGAUUAGAAUUACACUCCUAAUUAUAAUCCAUAUAUGCCAAAUUAAAUCUAAAUAAUAUCUAAUCCCAAUUAGAUUAGGAUUUAUCCUCAAUUUAGAUAACUACAAAUCUAAACCAAAUAUAACAAUCUCCACCUUGGUUUAAUUUGUAGUUUAGCCGUCGCUAUGUCGAGAUCGCCACAAAACUCCACCUUGAAUUUAAUUCGCCUUAAUACUCCUUAACGCUCCGUGCUCCGUCUUCUCCAAACGCCCCAUAGGGCCUCAAGUGCUGCUAACUGCCACCAAGUCCAAACAAUGUUUGAACUUGGCAAAAGUAAGGGACUUAGUAAGCAUAUCCGCCGGAUUGUCUUCAGUACCAAUUUUCUUAACUGUCAAUGUGCGUUUCCCAAUCACAUCCCGAACAAAGUGGAACUUUACAUCGAUGUGCUUUGUCCUCUCAUGAAACAUUUGAUCUUUAGACAAAUGAAUAGCACUUUGACUGUCCGAAUAAACAAUCGUCGGAUCCCAAUAAGAAGUAAGCUCUCCAAAUAAGCCUCUUAGCCACAUAGCUUCCUUCACACCCUCUGUCAUAGCAAUAUAUUCCGCCUCCGUCGUAGACAAGGCGACAAUAGGUUGUAGUGAAGCUUUCCAACUAACUGCACAUCCGCCAAUAGAGAAAACAUAACCUGAAAGUGAUCUCCUCCUAUCCAAAUCACCUGCAAAAUCCGAAUCAACAUAUCCAACCACACCAUCCUUACACCUCCCAAACUCCAAACAAGUGUUAGUGGUACCUCGUAAGUAUCUCAAAAUCCACUUAACAGCCUGCCAAUGAGCCUUACCAGGAUUGGUCAUAUAUCUGCUAACCAUGCUCACUGCGUAGGAGAUGUCCGGCCGUGUGCAAACCAUGGCGUACAUGAUGCUCCCGACAGCACUAGAAUAGGGAACAUGUGACAUGUACUCCCGCUCAUCAUCGGACUGCGGUGAUAACUCGGCGGAAAGUCUGAAAUGCGCCGCAAAAGGAGUGCUCACUGGUUUUGCGUCUGUCAUCCCGAAACGCUUUAAAAUCUUCUCUAUAUAUUUCUCUUGUGUCAAAUGCAGUAGUCCUGACUUGUUGUCCCUCUUAAUUUCCAUACCAAGGAUUUUCUUAGCAGCACCUAGAUCUUUCAUCUCAAACUCACCCUUAAGUAAAGCCUUCAAUUUAUUUAUCUCAACUAUGUCGCUGGAAGCAAUUAACAUAUCAUCGACAUAGAGCAACAAAUAUAUGAAAGAUCCCUUAUCAAGCUUUCUGAAAUACACGCAACUGUCACGCUUGCUUCUGGAAUAUCCGUGACCUGUCAUAAAGGAGUCGAACCGCUUAUACCAUUGUCGAGGAGACUGCUUUAAGCCAUAAAGCGAUUUCUUUAACAGGCAAACAUGGUCCUCCUUCCCUUCAACAAUGAAUCCCUCCGGCUGUUUCAUAUAAAUUUGCUCCUCAAGUUCUCCAUGCAGAAAAGCUGUCUUAACAUCAAGCUGCUCAAGAUACAGGUCAUUCAUGGCUACUAACGAUAAAAGAACACGAAUAGAAGUAUGCUUUACGACGGGUGAGAAAAUAUCAUUAAAGUCCACACCUUCUACCUGACUGUAGCCCUUAGCAACUAAACGAGCUUUAUACCUUGUAUCUUCCACGCCGGGGAUUCCGUCCUUUUUCUUGAAGACCCACUUACAGCCGACAAUUUUCUUGCCUGUAGGCGGUUUUACCAACUCCCAUGUGCGAUUCUUAUGGAGAGACUCCAUCUCCUCAUUCAUCGCCACCAACCACUCUGCAGAACUGGCACCGGAAAUAGCUUGAUUAUAUGUCGAAGGUUCACCUUCUUCUUCUGUAUCUUGUGCCACUGAAAGAGCGUACGCAACCAUAUCUUCAUAACCAUAUCUCUGCGGUGGUUUGAUCUGUCUCCUCGCUCUGCCUGUAGCAAUGCUCUGCCUCUCAACUUGUGGGGUUUCAGUUACUGAGGUGUCUGCCGACUGAACUUGUUCUGACUGAGAAGAAUCCUGUGACUGAACUAUACCAUCGGUCUCUACCUCCACCUGCUUGCUAGCACUCGGGGUCUCAUCAGAAGAAUUACGGUUAGGAUAUAACAUAGCAGAUUCAUCAAAUGUGACAUCCCUACUAAUAAUUAAUUUAGACGAUUCAGGACACCACAAUCUAUAUCCCUUAACCCCCGAUGCAUAACCAAUAAAAAUGCACUUUUUAGCCCUAGGUUCUAACUUGCCUUCAUUAACAUGAACAUAAGCAGGACAACCAAAUAUUCGCAAAUUAGAAUAAUCAGAAGGGCUACCAGACCAUACCUCCUCCGGAGUUUUGCAAUCAAGUGCUGAAUGUGGAGAUCGAUUCACCAGAUAGCAUGCCGUAGAGAUCGCCUCUGCCCAGAAACUCUUCGCUAAGCCAGCAUUAGAGAGCAUACAACGGGCCCUCUCCAAAAGAGUUCUAUUCAUCCGUUCGGCCACCCCGUUCUGCUGUGGAGUAUGCCUAACGGUUUUAUGUCGAACGAUCCCUUCCUUCUUGCAGAAUUCUUCAAACUCUGACGAACAGAAUUCCAAACCGUUGUCGGUCCUUAAUCGUUUGAUCUUCUUUUCAGUUUGCUUCUCAAUCAUGACCUUCCACUGCUUGAAAUAAUUGAACACCUCAUCCUUACUUUUCAGAAAGAACGCCCACACUUUACGAGAAUAGUCGUCAAUAAAAGUCAACAUAUAUCUAGCACCACCAUGAGUAGGAGUACGAGAAGGUCCCCAAAGAUCAGAAUGGAUGUAGUCCAGAGUACCUUUUGUUCGGUGAACUGCGGCCUUAAAGCUGACUCUCUUUUGUUUGCCAAGAACACAAUGCUCGCAGAAGUCCAACUUUUCUAAACUCUGACUACCAAGUAAACCUCUCUCGCCCAACUUCAUCAUACCAUAUUCACUCAUAUGGCCCAGUCGCAUAUGCCAUAAUCUGGUGCUAUCCGAAUCUGACAUAGAAGAAGAAGUCACCGCUGCUGAACCUGUCACAGUGGAACCCUGUAGAACAUAUAACAUGUCGGACAACUUGGCCUUCAUCACUACAAGAUUCCCUUUAGCGACCUUCAUUAAUCCAUCAGCUGAAGAAUACUUAAAGCCUUUAGUAUCAAGUGUACCCAAUGAGAUCAGAUUUUUCCUCAUAUCCGGAACAUGCCGAACCUCAGAUAUAGUCCUCACUACUCCAUCGAACAUUCGUACCCGAACAGUGCCAAUUCCAAUAACUGUGCACUUAGAGUGAUUUCCCAUCAAUACAUCUCCACCUUCAAUAGGCAUGUACGUCGAGAACCAUUCUCUAUGUGUACAGAUAUGAAAAGAACAUGCGGAGUCCAUAAGCCACUCAUCCUGUCUGCGUGUCUUAUCCGUAACUGUAAAGACGAUAUCAUUUUUAUCUGAUUCUCCUGCUGCAACACUUGCUUCUGCUUCAGUAUUGGUGUUUUUCUGACUUUGAUUUUUAUCACCGUUAUUCUUCCGCUGCUCUUUAUUUUUCAACUUGAAACAAUCAGCUUUUAUGUGACCCUUCUUCUUACAAUAACCACAAAUCAGAUUCCUGUGCUUUGACUUUGAUCUAGAUGUACCUCUAUUACCGGAACCCUUCUCCCGAGACCUCCCUCUAGCGACCAAACCUUGUCCUGAAGCUCCACCUGUCUCGUUGCUUAUCUGCAUGUCAAUUCUCUCUUUUGAAAGUAAAGAGGAUUUAACAUCAUCGAGACAUAGAGUAUCUCGUCCAAACAAGAAAGUCUCACGAAAAUUCUUAUAAGAGGGCGGUAGAGAACAUAAUAAUAAAAGGGCUUCAUCUUCCUCCUCGAUUUUAACAUCUAUCGAGCGGAGAUCCAUAAUAAUAGAAUUAAAUUCAUCUAAAUGCGACUUAAUAGAGGUACCUUCCGCCAUGCGCAACAUGAAGAGACGUUGCUUCAAAUAUAACUUGUUGGUGAGAGAUUUCGUCAUAUAGAGAGACUCCAAUUUAAGCCAAAGCCCUGCAGCGGUCUUUUCAUCCAAGACCUCGCGCAAUACCUCAUCGGAUAAACAUAAUUGUAUUGCCGUAAGAGCUUUAUCAUCAAUCUCCUCCUUCUGCUCUGCCGUUAACGAAUCGGACAUCUUUUCUUUUCCCAACAGUGCCUUCUGCAAUCCUUGCUGCGUCAAUACUGCACGCAUCUUGACUUGCCAUAAUGCGAAACUGUUGGUCCUGUCAAAUUUCUGAAUCUCGAACUUCGUCGUCAUCUUAAUCCUCAAAGGGAAUAGAAAGGCUCUGAUACCAGUUUGUUAAAAUCGGAACGGCGAAAAAUAGAUCCAGAAAAUAACUUAAUGCAAGAAAAGAAAAGAUAAGCGGAAAGAACACACCGAUAUUUACGUGGUUCGGCCAACGGCCUACGUCCACGGGCGAAGACGGAGCAAAUAAUUUAUUAAUGUCGAAAAGGCGGAGUACAAGAAAGAUCUCUCAAAAGACCAAAGCUUAAUUAGAUCCGAAACGCCGCAACAAGAAACUCCAAUUUUGGCUUCUCUCUUACCUAUCCGUACGGACCAAAUAAAUUUGGCCUUAAUUAGCGCAUACGGCUAAUUAGCGCACACAGCUCUCUGCAACGGUUAAUUAGAGUUGCGGCCUCUCUCCUCUUAGCCGUACGGACCUCACAACAAGCUAGACAUAAUUAAUGCUUGGCUUCUUAAUUUCGUCGCGGCGGCUUCUUGAUCGUCCGGAACCAACAUGCAUUGCUUGGCUUAAUUAGAACGUGGCAUCUUAAUUUGGUCGCGGCUUCUUUAAUUUGGCCGUAGCAUAUAUUUAUAAUACAUGUCUCCUAACUAGAGUCUAAUUCUAAUUAGAUUAGAAUUACACUCCUAAUUAUAAUCCAUAUAUGCCAAAUUAAAUUUAAAUAAUAUCUAAUCCCAAUUAGAUUAGGAUUUAUCCUCAAUUUAGAUAACUACAAAUCUAAACCAAAUAUAACAACGUUUAAUUGCAUAGAUGUUGCAUUCUAAACCUUCAUAAUUUGCAAAAAUUAAUGUGACCCUUGCCUCUAACAAAUAGCAAGUACCAAAAACAACUUUUACGACUAGCUAUGCUUGCGUGCUCAUUUCCUUGAUUUUUUACCUUUAAGCUAGAACCAUUGAUUUGGCAAAGAAGAUAAAAAAUAAAUAGAAUUUGACCCUUUAGAAUAUAAUGAAAAAUGUUAAUUCAUGGAAUUAUGGAAGCAUGCAUGGGAUCGACUGUAAUAUCGCAUUACCUAAAAGAUCGAUCUUAUAAUUAAAAAGCAGUCAAAAAAUAUAUUAAACAAUAUUUGAAAUCUCUGUUACUAUACUGUUGGUCCACAAUCUUAAUUUCCCUGUUAGUGGCACCGCCACGCGCGUAGCUACUCACUGUUGACUGUUUGCACGAAGAUAUAAACAAAGAUAUAUGAUGGGAAUUAGUAGAUCAAUCAAUCUGGCCCCAUAAACUCACGGAUCUUCCUUAUUCAGUUUAAUUUUCGUAUAAGAUACUAUUUACACUAGGAUCAGUGAGCUAGGAUCUAGCAUACUUUCAUAUCAUGUUAAAUAACCGUUUUUAUUAUGAAAAUUUUGAGCUGUUAGAGAACGGUAUUUUUAAUAUGUUCAAUAGUAAUCACAUGAAUAUCGUUUCGGCAUCUUAGUUUGUCGUUACUUCAUACCAUCGCAUAGUAGACGUUGUUUACUUCUGAAAGUGUAGAAUAUAAGGUAUUCUACUCCCUACAAGCAGAAAUUAAUGAAGGGUUUCUAUGUUAGGUGUCCAUUGAAUAUCUUCUAUGCAUUCACGUCUCAAUUAUUUAAUUGUUUAGUUGUUCAACUUAUAAACAAUGAAUGAAAACACCUAAGCUCUCUUUGGUUUAUAAUAUCAUUAAUUGGCAUUAAUUAAACCGUGUGACACCUAAUUAAGAAGGCGUUGUGUCAAACUUGUAAACAUACUUUAUAUAUAUAUAUAUAUAUAUAUAUAUGAGUCCGGCUAUGGUGCUUGUAAAAGCACUAAGCACUUGGUGCUUGUGAAUUUUUUACCGUUAGAUCUACGUAUUUGAUCAUUUUCAUCCGUUAGAUUAUACUAUUCAACCAACCACCCACUCAACCCAAGGGGGCCCACAUCAUCCUACUGCACAUCUAUUAAUCCAAGGGCUAAAAAUUUACAAGCACCAAUAACUUGGUACUUUUAAAAGCAUAGGAGCUCAAUUCUCUCUCUCUAUACACACACACACACACACACACACACACACACACACACACACACACACACACACACACACACACACACACACACACACACACACACACACGAUGGAUGAACUGAAUUUGCUUAUAUAUAUCUAAUUAAUUGUUACAAAAAGCAUGCAAUUCUAAAUACUAAUAAUUUCAGUAAGUUUGGUCACAUAUUUGAAACGCAAUGCACCUGUCUUAAUUUUUAUGAGGAGACCGUGAAUUUUAAAUUAAGCAGUUUGAGUUUUCUUUUUUCUUUUUUGUUUUGCACAUAUUUAUGCUUAGUUUUACCAUUUUGCUACACAGCUCGAUCAUUUGUCACAGCAAAUUAAUUCUAGUGGGAACCCAUGACCUACAUAGUAAUUAGUCACUCCUACAAACAUAAAAAUCCUUAACUAACACAUGCAAGUAUGAAAAUGAACGUUGUUUUACGUAUGAUCCUCAUCAUUGAUAUAUGUGACAAGAGAUGGAAAAGACUAAUUAUUGUUUCGUUAGAUCAAUCAUUUAACUAUUGAUCCUGAAAUUUGCAUCCAAAUUCAACAACAUUCAAUGUACUUUUGAUCCAUUUGAAGCAAUAGUAAAAUAUAGAGUAAAUCAACGUAAUUUUCACACAAGGGAUAUAUGACUGAGACACGAGAUAAAGUGCAAAGAGUCUUACGUAUAAACUAGAGAAAUGAGACUAUUUGUCUUUUAUUAGUGAACUGAAACCAUGGGCAUGGACUAAAAGUCGAUCAAGAGUGCUUGUUUCUUCAUAAUUUAGCCUAAUUUUCUGUAUAUAGAAUGCUUUAUAACGAACUGAACACUCUAUGCUACGGUAUUCGACCUAAGAAGCCAUAUAUAUACUCAUCCUGCAAAAAGCCAAAACACAAUCUAAGAAGCCAUAGUUUAUCUUCCAAUAACGUCGAGUUUCUCGAUCUCCAAGUUAGCUAUUCGACAACGUCGGAGAUCGAGACACCUGUACUAAUUGAAUUCGUGCGACAUGCAAAAUUCGCAUGAGGCAUGCACCCACAAGUCAACCGAUCAAGUGUACAUAAAAAACGUUGCGCGUUUCAUUGUUUAUUUACAUGCAUCAAGAUACAUGAACCUACCUCUCAUUGUAUACAGUGGAUGGAGCCUAUUAUACUACAUUAAAAGUUAUACAAAUUGUGCAACACAAUCCACAAAUCCCAGAUAUUAAGGCGAUCUAGAGAGAGAGAGAGAGACCCAGCUUUGAGAUUUGUUAUAUAAAAGGUUGACAAGGAUAAAUUAAAGUCAUUAUAAUACUUCUUUAAUUUAUAAUCUCCCUAGCUAUUAAGCUAGUCAAAGUAUAAAAUUUAUACUUAGGUUUAAUGCCAAAGGUAAAGGAAGGAGCGAGGGAGGAAGGUACAGUGUUCCAUCACAUGAACAUCAUUAACACUACCGAAACUAAAUUAAUUGCUUGAUUAGGUCUCAAGUAAAGAAAUGAGCACGAAUGAUUGGCCCGAGAAAUAAACAAAUGUUCCGAUGAUGAUCGACGCGCUUUGUCGGGAUAGCGACGGGCAACAGUCGAGCAUAUUUAGCUGUAUUGACCAGAUUGCAAGCUCAAAAUUUAGCGCGCUAAUUCUAUUAUUGUCGGCCCGAGGGGUUUGUUAGGCAAUUUUUCAGUGGCAAACCAGAAACCCUAGAACAUGAUAGCACAUGGGAGGUGUGGUUGGUGGUGGUAGAGGUGAGCAAUGGUAUUAGAGUAUGAGAACAACUAAAUAAUUAAUCAAGUAAUGAUCUAUUAAUAUAUGUUAAUUAUAGGUAGUCUAAAUAGUCAAUGCAAACUCCAAAGUUACCCUAGAUAGGAUGUUCACUUGCGAAAUUGGCGCAUAAUAUAAGAGUGGCAACACUUGUAUAUGCGUGACCUUUGGUUCUAAUUUAAAUUUUGCUCUAAAUCAUAUAUUUAAUUGCAUUAAAAAUAACCACUCCUCUCGAGCACACUAAACCAUGCCAAUGGAACAGUGCACUAUACUAAUUAAUUCUCCGUGGUUUUUCGCCCACCUAAUAGUCUUUGAGCUCUAUGGUUAAACCAUGAAACUCGAACAUGCUAUUAAUUUUUUUAUUGAAAUCUCUGUAAUAGACUUAUACAAAAAGAAAAAAAAAAAAAAAAAAAAAAAAAAAAAAAAAAAAAAAAAAAAAAAAAAAAAAAAUGGUGCCAAUCUUGUUUAAUGCUUGGCUAAAAAAAAAAUCAAAUUAUAUAGGUUCAAUGCAUUAGUGGACAAACUUUUUUUUACUGUUGUUAUUAUUAGUUAGUUUGCGAUGCACUUAGUCAGGAUACACGUACAACAUCUUCUCUAAAAGCCAAAAAAAAAAGGAAAAAAAAAAAGAUAUUUUGUUUUUGCAUUUCAUUCAUGACAAAAUCUCUAGGCAUAUUAAAUAGGAACAAUUGUUUAUAUAUUCAGGAAAAGUUUCUAACUUUUUUAUUUAUCCUUCUUAGAAAGUAGUAUUGAAAAUAUUUUUUUUUUAUGUUCCAACUUAUUUCAAAUAUAUCUCUAAAUUUAAAAUCUGUUAAUGAGCUGUCAGUAAUAGUUGUUAUCCCUAUAAAAUUACUAUUUUUCUCUUUCAAAUAUAUCCUUCUACAAUCACCGACUUUUCUUAUUUGCUCUUAAGUUAGGGCCACGAAAAGCAUUUUACUUUUUGGUCUUUUCAGAUAUAUCAUUUUAUCAUCAUCAACAUUUUUUAUUUGUUCUUAAGAGGCAUUUUAAUUUUUUUAACUCUGAUAGAUAUUUAACUCGUGUUUAAUCCAUGUUAACUUAACGGGUGGCAACUUUAGGAUAUUUUAAAAUAACAAUAGAACAUAUGAGAAAAUUAUUAAAAAGAAAAAAAGAGUAAAUAAAAUAUUUUCCAAGUUUUAGAGGGUGUAUAGACAAUUAUCCCUAUUAAAAAAUGAAGGUUAAAAAAAAAGUGAGAGAAAACAAAACCUUAAAUCAUAGGGUAGAUAAGAUUUUUUUAUAACUUUUCCAUUUAUUUUCUCCUUUAAUUUUCUUUCCAAUUACGCACAUAUAUUGAUGCACUACUGAAAUACCCACGUGAUGCUACGGAUAUAAAAAUAUUUUUAUAAUAAAUUUCAUUUUUUUAAUAUGUUUAUAUAUUUGUAUAAGUCUAAUUAUUAAUUAAAUAAAAGUUAUAAAAAAAUAAUUUAAUCGUUAAAUCUAUUUAAAUAAAAGUCAUUAAAAUCAGUAUACGCACAAAGUAAAUUUAUACAACAAUUUAUUUUAUAAAUAUUUAUAUGAAAAUAAUUUGAGUAAAUCUAUCAAAAUAAUUUAAAAAAAUCAAUAUAUAGAAGAAAAAUAAAAUUGUAAAAGAAAUUAUUUAAUAACAUUAAUUAUAUAUAUACAUAGAAAUACACUAUAUUUAUAAAAUUUUACUCCUAAAAUUUAAAUGCUCUAUUUUUUUUAGACAGUAAUAUUUUACGUGAUUUAAAUUACAUUUAUUAGGUUAGAUUUUAUUACACAAUUUAUUAUGCGUAUUAUUAAUAAAAUUAAUUAACUACAUUAUAUAUAAUGAAUUAUUAAUAAAAUUAAUUAAUUAAUUUUAUAGAGUUUAGAGAUAUAAAAUUUUAAAUUUUAAAUUUUAAAAUUUAAAAUUUAAGAAAUAAAUAUUAUAAAUUAAAAUAUAAAAUAUAAAAUAUAAAAUUUGAAAUUUUGAAAAUAUCAAAAUUUUAAAUUUUGAUAUUAAAAUAUAUAUAUAGAGGGAGAGAGAGUAAAGAAAGAUUUGGAAGUACACGCGUCACUCUUUGGUCCCAAAUCCUCCUUUAAUUUAGAGAAAAAAAAAAAGAUUUUACUUGGUCUACUUUAACGUCCUCGAAGGUAGAUCUAGAAUUUUGGACAUCUCUUUCCUAUAGCCGGCACGUGGCAGUUGUACGAGCAGCGUACGUGUCACGCCCAUAUGCCUCCACGUUGUACGGAUUUGUCCACAAAAAAAAAGCAUCGAGACUCCUCAAUUAUUUACUUUAAUUGAUAUUUUUGAACUUUUAUCUAUUUCAAUCCAAAUUAUUUGUUCCAUUUAAUGAAAAAAUUUAAAUUUAAAUUUGAAAAUACUAAUUAACAAAAAAAUGGUUAGGAGGUUAUUUUACAAUAGCCUAUAGUUGGGGUAUUCUUGUGCAAACACUAAUUUUUGGUUGAACUUUUGUUUGAAGCUAAAUUGCACUGUUGGUCCUAAAGAUGCGAUAUUUUAGUCUUAAAAAUUUAAUUUAUUAUAACUUUUGGGUUAAAUUUUACAUAUUAUUGUAAUUAGGUCCUAAGUACAAUUUAGUUAACCAAAUAAUAAUACGAUAAUAAUAUAAUAUAGCAGUAUUAUGAUUAUGAUAUUGAUUAUUAUUAAAUCAAGAACACAUUAUUAUUCAAUCAAUAAAAUUAUACAAUAACAUUCAAUUGUAAAAAUAUAGAAAAUAUGAGACAAAAUUAUAAAAUAUUUAAAGGAUUAAAAUAUCACAUAUUUCAAAGUUUGAUGACCAAAGUGCAAUUUUACUUGUUUAAUUGACGACACGAAUAUUAAAGUGAAGGAAAUAUAAUAAAACAUAAAUGUACGGCUCGUCGUUGGCCCUGCGAGGUAGAUGCGGACCCAAAUCUUUCAUAUGACCAAAUUGGCCUCGAAAAUCAAUUCGACGGACUCAUUAUUGACUAGGGGCGGUAAUUCAGUUAUUUGUUCGCAAAUCAACGCGUGUUUCGUUCGAAAUGAUUUCAAAAUUAAAUCAACUUAUUUAAUAAACAAGUCGAAUACGAACUGAAUUUUUUAGCUCAUUUAAUAAACGAAUCGAAUAUGAGCUAAAGCCAGCUCGCUCUUAUUCGACUUUAUAACGGCUCGAAUAUAUAUAUUUUAUAUUUGUAUAAUUUAUUUAAUUUAUAUUUAUAUAUAUAUAUAAUUAUAUAAUAUAUAUAUUUAUUAUUUGAUUUAUAGCAAAAAUAAUAUAUAUAAAGCAGAGCUUAAUUAUAAAAAAAAUAUUUAUAUGUAAAAUUUCAAUCAUAAUAUCAAAAUUUAAUAAGUAAGAUUUUAUAAAUUUAUUUUCUAUAUAUAUAUUCAAUCUAAUUUAUUUAAUUUUUGCUUCGUUGGUUAGUUUGUAGGUCAACUCAUAUUCGACUUAUUUAUUAAUGAGUCGCAUUUGAACUGAUUUUUUUUUUUCUCGAUACUUUAACGAAUCAGUUCAGCUGAUUCGCGUUCCGCUCGGCACCUUUAUCAUUGACACCGAAACGCACAGGGGCAAAUAUGUCAUUUUAUUAACGAGUAGGCCUCCUAUGGUUUUGCCUUGUCGUUUUCGGCUGCGACUGUGGAGCCCACUUGGACGACUCCGUCGUUUCAACUUUUGGCGGUCGCUUUCUUCAAUCUCCACUGUUGAUUUUUCCUAAUCGAACGGCUGUGAUUCUCCCUAUACUCAACUGUGUAGUUGGCGCCAGAGGAAGCUAUGGGACCCAUCGGCCUAUAGACCGGAAAAGCUUUUAUCCAUUUAUUGUGUGGACCAGGUUCACCACAUUAUCUUUGUGAAUUCAUGUGUAAAUAUGUGAUUUUUUUUUUUUUUUUUUUGGGGUUGCGAUGAAUAAGUCAUUAGGCGAUGUUGUACAAACUUAUUCAAGCUUAAAAUACGAGUUAAAUUUACGAAUUUUGAUGUACCAACCGACUAGUUUAUUAGCAGAUGGUGUAAAAAUAUAAUUUUUUAGUAACGGAUUAUAGAAUCCGCAAUUGUAUAAAUAAUAUUUUGAAUACUUUUUAUGCUAGUAUAUUAUGUACAAUCCAAUUUUCACAUGACACAUUACCAUGCCAUGUUAUAAUUAAUAUUUGCAAAUAUUGGAAAGGACGUAUUGUUGUACUUUGCAUGUUAACAACAGAGGACAAGAUAGAAGAAGAGGAAUUGUCGGAAGCAGUAAAAGUUUCUAGUUCAUAAAUUAGCAUUCCGUAUAGAUGAUAAUCGUGUGACUAGUUAAAAAUUUAAAAUAUUGUAAAUAAAAUACAUAUACUUUAUUCUUAUUGAUAUCUAAUUUGUAUUAAUUUAACUAGUAAGGUUGAUAGAUUAAUCGUAUAUUCGACCUAAUGUUUUUAUUAAUAAAGAGCCCUCUAAUAAUGACAACAAUUUUAUGGCCAUAGUAUCCAAACUAUGCAGAUCGAUGCCACGUGGUCAAUCCGAUGGCUACGAAUGGAAAAAAAACAAAAAAAUUAUAUUUUUAGAGAAAGAGAGAGAAAAAGUAGCUAAAAAAUAUGGCCGUUGGAUCAGCCACGCGGCGCCUAUCCACAUAAUCCUCAGUUUGGAAACUAUGCGGAUAAAAUUUUUGUCCUUCUAAUAAUAUCAACCAACAAAUGAGAUCCUUUCCUUUUUUUUUUCUCGCUUUUUACAUCGGGUCUAUAGACCGGAUUCACGUACGUAUCAGCUUAAUCAACGGGCGGAGUUGCCCAUCCCAGGUGGGCCCCACUCGUUGGGCGGUCGUGAUCUGCGGGCCCCUUCACCCUUGGGUUUUGGUGUUUCUAUUUUGAGAGCUUCUAUUUAUUAAUUCAGUAUCCGGUAACGCGUAUCCCGAAAAUUUGGGAAAGAAGGGUGCGAAGUUGGCUUAUUUGCUGGACCCAGUGCAUAUAUAAAUGUCGUGGACCACUCCCUAUCUAUAUUUUGUUGGGUUUAUAUAAAAAAACAUUACCUGCGGUAACAAAAAGCAUUUUAAAGUAUAUACCCCGUCUAUUUUUUAUAUGCAUAAUAUGUUGCGCAAGUAGGUUAUUGGUUUUCUUAAAACAUAGUUUUUAUGCUACUAUAGAAAAUUUAAAAAUAACAGUAUAUUUCUCUACUUCUUUUCAUCCAUUAAUAUAUUAUUAUACAGUUUUUAAUGCGAAUUAUAUUCUUAAUCUAAUAAUCUAGCUUCUUGAGAGAAAAUAGUUUAUAUAUACCUAUAGGGAUACCACCUGGUGUGAAUAACUAUUUUUCUUAAAUAUGAAUUUUUAUGUAGCAGGUGCAUCACAUUAAUGUCCCAAAUCAAUCAAUUUUUGAGAAAAAAAUAUAAUAUUUUUUUAAAAAAAUUUAUAAUAGGGCGAGUGAACUCCAAAUAUAAUGACAAAGCCCCCACAGAUUCCAGAAAUUUUUUUUUUUCCGCCCUCUAGUUGUCUCUGAAAAUCGAGAGAUCUUAUUGUGUGCACCGAGUCUAUUGAUGCAUCUCAUGCACCUUCUCCAAUGUUAUGUUUGAUGAUAAUAUCUUAAAAUUAAUGUCUAAUCAGAUAAACACUGUAUUACGCCCAACGAAUAUACUUAUGUAUGGGACCUCAUGAGUUUCUAAAUCUUACUCUAUAAGCAUUAGCUAAAAUAUUAACCAAUGAAAGAAAGAAAAAUUAUCCUACUCGGAAAAAAAUAGGCCUUUAAAACAUAUAAUUUUGCUUAAUUUGAGGUCCCUAAAAUAGGAUCCGAAGUGCGAUGGACAUAUAAAUCACUGAGGGGAUGCAAUAAUUCCUCGAAAAGAGCUUGUAUGCUGAAAAUAGCUUGAGAAGUUGAACUCGUGAUUUCGAAAAAAGUCAUAGGUAUCUGCAUUUUUUCAGCACUGAAGUCAUAAAAUCAUCUGAAUUCUCACUCACAGUUGUCCGGAGAUUGACCUAUCGACUCCGAUGACAGGAGUGAGAGAGAUAGAGGGAACCGAGUUUAUAAAACUCACAAACUCUACACUUUCUGAAUUUUUGCUUCGGAAUUGUACCAAAUCUUUUUCGAGAGCGACGAUUUCAGUAUCAUAAUAUGCCGACACCAAUGAAGGAGGAAGUGUCGCCGAGUUUGAAAGGGUGAGGCUGAAAUUAAUUAGAAAGUAACUCGUCCUUGCAUGACCUGACCCACUUCAACUUCGUUAAUUAUUUAUUUGGGAAAACUUCAAAAACCCCCAUGUGGUUUCGUGCAUUCUCACUUUGCUACCCUGUGGUUUAAAACGUAUCAAUUUGCCGCACUGUGGUUUCGUUUUUAUCUUUUUGUUAUCAAUUUUAUUAUUAUUUUUUUUAAAAAUCAGUGACAAAGUUAAAAUUAAAGGAUACUAAAGUGACUAUUCGAUAAAUAUAGAUGGUUAUCUGAAAUUUUUUGUAUAUAAUUUAACGAAAUAUUAACGAAAAAGCUUCCGAAAAGAUAAAAAUGAAACCACAGGGGGUAAAUUGAUACGUUUUAAAUCACAGGGUAGCAAAGUGAGAAUGCACGAAACCACAGGGGGGGUUUUUGAAGUUUUCCCUAUUUAUUUUGAGAGAACUUUUUUGGAAUUCUUUUUUGAGAGGAUAUAUAGUAGUAUAUGUUUUACCCGCUUUGAUCAUUUUUUUAGAAAUUAAUUUAUCUAAAAAUAUAAAGUAACUAGGCUUUGAUCAAAUUAGAGACCUCGGGUACUAAUUAUCAAGCCAAUUGCCACUUGUGCUAAGAACGAUCCGUUAAUCACUUUAGAAGUUUAAAAUGUAAAACUUGAUGCAUGGUUGAUUAUAGAAUUCUAAAACUUCAAUUAAAAAAUAUAAAAUUUUGGAAAAAAAUAUAAAAUUUUGAAAGUUCAGAUGAUUAUUUCGAAAGAAGGAAAAGUUUGGGUGGUUGUGGUGCAACUAACACAUAAGAAAGGGACACAAAAAAAUCUUGUAAUACAAAACAAAAUUAGAUAUAAGAAUGAGUUUUGUAGUUUGACUCCAUGCACAUACCAGUUGAGUCAAGUUGCUAUUACUUCUAAGAUUUUUCUGGUCAACAUAUCCGUGAUUUGGUGAAACAAUCACAUCGUGUAGGAUUUUAUUGACUUUUUUUUUGUGUUAAAUAAAAGAUUAUUUCACAUAUAUAACAACUAUGAUAGCAACCUUCUAAUUUUACAUAUAGUUUAUACCUGAAAAUCUAACAAAUAAUCAGAAAAAAAAUACUUUUCAAAAGCUAUACGCAAAAAAUAUAUAAGUCGAGUGCACCAAAUUAAUGUCCCCACGUAUAUUAUUUAAUUCUAGUUGGCAUCAAAAUUCGAAAUCAAAUAAGAAGUGAUAUUAAUAUAUUUAUUUUUAGAAAUGUUUCAAAUAUUGAACUCUUUUAGGUGAUUGAUCAUACAAUUGGUGUGGUUUCUUGUGGAAUAAAGGUGCUUCUUCAUGUGUACACACUUAAAAAACAUACACAUUUUAAAGUAUGUGGUUUGUAGGUAAUCUACAAAUUUCAACAAACGAAAACAGAAGAAAUUUUCCAUUUUGAAUGCUUCUAAUAUAAUUACUAGUUGUUUAUAAUCAAAUACCGUAAUGCAUAUCAUUAGACUAGUUGAUGAACUAUUUAUCAUAUUAAAUAAAACUCCCAUGCUUAUUUUAUGCAUGUAUGGGACCACAAGCUACAAUGUCAUGUUUCUCUUUUUUUUUUUUUUUUUUUCCUUCAUUUUAAUUUUUAUCCACAAAAAAAUUGUUUCAUGAUAACAAUUUGUAAUAUGAUGCUCAGCCAAUAGAGGGUUUUUUGGAAAAUUAAUUUAGCUCUUUUUUAUUCUUAGCAUAAUAAAAUUGUGGACACAAACAUCAUGUAACAGGUUUCAUGCAUUCUACGUAUAUUUAUUUUGAUGUUUCUUUAAUUAAUUAGAUAUUCCAAAAAAACUGAGCCAGGUCCUCUCUAUAUACGUAUGCACUAAUGUCAUAGCAUUUAAAUUACUGUUUCUAAGAAAAUGGUAAUUUCUAAAGGCUGUUAAUUGAUGAAUAUUCGAAAGAACUUUGAAAUUCGUGGGCCUUGUGUUGUUAAAUUAUAUUUUAAACUGAGAAAUAAAAACGCAAAGAUAUUUGUUAAUUAGUUAGUUUUAGAAACAUACGAGAGUUAUAUUUUUCGAUAGAUCAGUAAAUAAUUUUUUAUUAACUUUUCAUUUAUUGUUAGUAUGUACUAAGCUUACCAAAAGAUCACAUUUAUCUAACCAUUUCCCCUUUUUUGAGAGAAUGGUAUAAUACUACAGUUUCAUUUUUUUUUUUUUUAAUAAAUCUGUAAUUUUUUUCUUUUUGGGAAAACUUCAAAAACCCCCCUUGUGGUUUCAAUUUUUUUCACUUUAAUACCCUGUGGUUUAAAAUGUAUCAAGUUAGUACCCCGUGGUUUCUCACUUUAUCACUUAAGUACCCUGUGGUUUAAAGUGUAUCAAGUUAGUACCCUGUGGUUUUGCACUUUAUCACUUUAGUUCCCUGUGGUUUUAAUUUUGUAUCAAGUUAGUACCCUAUAGUUUUGUAAAUCACAAGGUACUAAAGUGAUAAAGUGUGAAACCACAGGGUACUAACUUGAUACACUUCAAACCACAUGGUACUAAAAUGAAAAAGUGUGAAACCACAGGGGAAAUUUUUGAAGUUUUCCCUUUUUUUUUUGAGAGACCGGUGGCAUGCUAUUGCUUCAUUCUAAUGAAUUUAAUUAUAAAUUUGAAGUAAUUGAUCUUCGAACUUGAAACCUCGGAUGUAAAAUUAGGCUUCGAAAUUUGGAAGCUCGUGUACCAAUUUUCAAAUCUUUUAUCACUUGCGCUAGAGACAACCGGUUAAAAUAAAAAAAAAAGCUUCCAAUAAAGAUUUAUUAAGGCUUAAGCCCGAAAUUUAUGCCUAUAGAGACAAGACUAAAAUUUCUAAUUUCUGAUUUUUGUUUAUUUUCUAAAAUAAACUCAAAUAAAAAUAUAAAAUAAUUAGAUUUUGAACUUAAAAUUUCGAAUACCAACCAUCCAGACCUCAGCUAAUAUAUAUAUUUUUUUAUUUCUUGGGCAUUAGCACUAUAUAUUUAUGGAAAUAUAUUUAUUUGACCUAUCCCAGUUGUACCAAGUUAGGUGGCUGCCCUUAGAUAAUAUGUUUCAUCUAUAAGAAAGGGCGAUUAAUUAAUCAUCUUAUGUUUUUCCACACAGAAGCCACUAGUUUCACACGUGGCCUCACGCGUUCAUGUUACUUACGAAUUUAAUAAGCGUUACACAUUUGUUCGCCUUUUUUUACUUAACAUUUGGGGAUAUGGGAGCAGUUCCUUGUUUUGGUCGCAGCAGUUAUGGUUUGACAAUAAGAUGUUUAUUUUUAUUUCAUAACAUUCCGGGUUUAUUGGUCAAAACAUAUUUGUGUGCUAAAAACUUAAUAUCGUGCAGAUUUGACUUGCACACGGAAGCUAAAUUUGGAUUGAAAUUAAAUGGCAAUGGCCGUGGCAAAUGAAGUAAUCCAUUAGUGUGUAGUAGCACUAUAAUUUAUUCGUGAAACUACAAAAUUUAGUGUUUGAUAUGCUGAGAAAAGUAUAUCUUACUGGAAAAUACCUGAUUGGUGAUUAUAAAAAGUUAGGGCGUCGAAUGGUGUUUGGGUAUUUUUCAGAUUCGAGUUCUAAAUAGAGAUACGAUAUGUAGGGUGCUAAUUACACACUCAAUGAAAAUGAGAAAGUUUUAAAUUCAAAACGAGAAUUCGGGUCGAAUUCGGGUUGGCGGGUUAGCAGGUCUAGUGGAAACCUCAACCGUGAAAAGUGCGUACACUGUAUCGCACAAGCCCACAGUAGGUGAUCAAGCAUCAAACACCGUUCAUCUAUGUUGACGUUGACCAAUUCGGCUUCGCCGUGUUUUUUCGGUAGCGGUGAGAGUGAGACCAAGUAAAGCAAACGACCGGGCCAAAAAAGACGACCCCAGAGUGAUAGACCUGGUUCACCACGAGAUCCGUAAACCGCUCGCCUCGGAAGGAUCCGAUUGCCGGGUCUACGAUUAUGUGGUGCACCUGGGUCACGAAAAGUAUCAGAAGAAGUAGGGGUAUUUCAGUCAUUUUGUCAGGCACGAGGGCGCCGGGCAAAGUAUAGCAGCAGUGCAGAGGCAGCCCCUCUGCAGCGUUGUAGGGAAGAAGAGGAUGAGAUAAAAAGAGAGUAAAAAAAUAAAGUAAAAUUACAAAUAAAAAUAAGAUUUUUUUUUUUUUUUAAAGCAAGCAUUUCUCCAAAUCUCGUUCCCUUCUCCACUGCGAUCCCCAAAAUCGCGGUUCCCUCUCUCUCUCACUCCCUUUUUUUUUUCUUUUUUUCUUUUUUUUUUUUUAAUUCGUUGGGUUUUAAGUCCCCAAUUUUUUAGUCCCUUUUAUUGUUGAAUUGUUUAGACCCGGUUCUCUCAAUCAAAGAGAGAGAGAGAGAGAGAGAGAGAGAGAGGGGGGAAGAGGAGGUGUUCUCUGUUCUCAUCAAAGGCGAAGAAAAAGGCGUCGUGUGUUGUGAAUCCGAGCCCCAGUAGAUCCCCUCGCUUUGAAACGAUAGAGCUCGCUUCGAUUCGAGGUGAGCAUUCCCCCACUUCCCCCUCUUUGCUUAACAUCCUCCGCUUGAAAAGUUGUGAUUUUUAUGGGCCAAAAUCGCGUCCUCUCUUAAAAAGUAGUGAUUUUUAUUGUUCAAAAAUCGCGUCUUUCUCGUUUUAUAUUAGUUUCCUCGCGUUUUCCUCUAAUGGGCAUCUCGUAUUCCUCGAGAUCUGGGCCUGUGCUGCUUCUUCUCCCCUCUCCUUAAUCGGUGGAGGUGAUUGGGGUUUUCGCCCCAGGGAUUCGACGUAGUCGGCCUCUUUAAUUUUUAUUUAAUUACAAGCCAGUGCUUUCCUAGGACUAGGUUCAUUCCCUUCCAAAAUUGGGACCUGCGUUGUGAUCUUGGGCUACUGGAUUUGGGAGAUUUGCUCAUUGAAUGAGUUAGAUUUGCUCAUUUGUUUAUCCCCUGACCCUCCCUGUUGCUGUGGAGACAAUCUACAAGCCCUUGCUUGUUGUUUAUAAUAAUAAGUACAAUACUGGACCUGUUUCCUCAAAUGAGUUUCUCUCUCUUUCCAUUGUUUUGAAGUGAGACCGCCAUGGCUCGCCGCUACGUGUUCGAAGGGGAAGAGGAUGAGGAGGAUCUGUUCUUCGACUCAAUGGAGGAUAUCUCGUCCUCCUCUGGCUCGUGCCCCGGUAGCCCGGAGAAGCAAUUUUCGUCCUCCUCCUCAGAGGAGUGUUCCGUCGGAUACCGAGUUUGGAUGAACAAUCUCGACAGCGUGCGGGACCGGCGCGAUAAGUUUGUCAGAUUGAUGGGUAUGGAUCUGAGUUAUGCUCCCGGCAAGUCCGGUUCUGGUUUUGACAGCGAGCUCCUGCGAGAUGAUGAAAUUGUGCCGGAUAUUGAGAGGAUAAUGUCUGAUGAUGGAGCUGUUCUUAGAAGCUCUUCUUCGGAUAAUGGCUCUUCUUCGAUAUCUAGCUGGUCCACUGAGACGCCGAGCACGUCUGGUGACGGAGUCUCAGAGGAGAAUUUUGAGUGUAGAAUCAAGAAUCUAAAUGAUGGCACGGUAUUUCUUGUUGAUGAGUUAGGUAAGGAUGGUGACGUGAGAAGCCUACGCGAAGUUGGUUCUAAUCGAACAAUAACUGUUGCCGAGUUUGAAAAAAAUUUCGGUUCUUCUUCCUUCAUUCAACAGCUUAUGCGCAGGGAUGAUAGUAGUAGUACAUUGAACAACUCCGAGAAGACCGUGGGCAGGAGAAGGACGGGGUGGUUGAGGAGAUUGGGCAUUGGAGCUUCUGUUGUAGAUAAAGAAAAGAUUGAGAAUAAGUCGAGAUUUUCGGAAUUUGAUCAGAGCAGUGGUGUAAAGGUUGAAAGAGUUAAAGUCCGAACAUAUAAGAAGAAAUCGAAAGAAUUCUCCGCGGUCUACAAGAGGCAAGAUAUCAAAGCCCACGACGGUGCGAUUUUGACCAUGAAGUUUAGCCCAGAAGGUGCGCUUUUAGCCACCGGGGGCGAAGAUGGAGUUGUAAGGGUAUGGCGUGUGAUGGAAUGUGAACCGUCAGAUGAUUGUUGCAUUCCUGAGGACGAUCCGGCGUGCAUUUACUUUACUGUGAAUGAAAAUUCUGAAUUAGCUCCUCUGCAUGCUAAUAGUGAGAAAAAGGGCAAGACCAAGAACGCGAAAAGAAGUACAGAUUCAGCUUGUGUUGUAAUUCCAUCCAACGUCUUCCGGAUAUCUCAUGAACCGUUGCAUGAGUUUCGCGGACAUGUUGGGGAUGUCUUGGAUCUUUCAUGGUCAAAAGAUAAGGUUAGCAUUUGAAAUUUUCUUUUUGCCGUUCAUUUGUUGUUCAUAGUUGAAGUUUUAUCUAAAUGUCGAUAAAUGCUCUCUGCAGCGUCUACUGUCAUCAUCCAUAGAUAAGACGGUCCGCUUGUGGCAAAUUGGAUGUACUAGCUGCCUCAAUGUUUUUUCCCAUUGUAAUUAUGGUAGGCAAAUUGUAUUCCUUGAUCAUUUCACAGUUUGUUUCUGUUCUUGGAUUUGAUUAGUUGCUUCCUUUAAUUUGUUCUAAUGGUGUUGAUUAAAAUUUUCUCCUUUAUUACGCAGUGACUUCUGUUCAGUUUGAUCCUACCAACGAAAAUUAUUUUGUUAGUGGUUCCGUUGACGGGAAAGUACGUAUCUGGGAAAUUCCCCAAUGCCAUGUCGUCGACUGGACUGAUAUUAAAGAAAUAAUCACUGCAGUAUGUUACCGUCAGGAUGGGAAGGUAUGCUUUUUCACUAUUCCCGAUUGUAGUUUCAUUUUUAUUGAACUUUCAGAGAGUGAAUAGAUUUUUCUUCUUGUUUCUUGCAGGGAAUAGUGGUUGGUACCAUCACAGGGAAUUGCCGCUUUUAUGAUGCAUCAGGUACACAAUUUGUUUUUUAAUGUUUCUUCUGCAAAGUUCUUGUUUUUUUUUUCCUUGCAUAUAUAAAAGUUGCUUCUUUUGGAUAAGAUUCAAUAUAGUUGAGUGCUCAAUGUGUAGCCUGGUUUCGUGCAAUUUUAUCUGAAGUGACAUCCUUUUUCAUGUAAAAUGCUGCUAACUUUUUUUCCAAGCAUGCCUAAUCUCUAAGAAUAUGGCACAUAAUUUGAUAAUGCACUUUAUCUACAUACAAGCAACUGGCUAGGUAAUUACUCUACCUUAUGCCGACAAUCUCUUCAGAAGUUAUUUUUCCCCCGAUUCCUUUCUACUACCAUUCCUCAAAUGCUGUGUGGUAGUGCACAGCUAAUUAAUGAUUGUUCAGAUCAGUUUAUUGGCAGUUAGGAUCGAUGAUGAAUGAAUUUUUCCCCCCCCAACUUGGCGCUUCGAUUUGUCUUAUAUUAUUAAGCUGGUUUGCACUUCUUGUCUGUUUCUGCAUGUUGAUACUUACACAAGUAGUUUUUUUGGAUUGGUUCAGAUAAUCAUCUGCAGCUAGAAGCUCAGUUGUCUCUACAAGGAAGAAAGAAGUCUCCGCAUAAAAGGAUCACUGGGUUUCAGGUAGCUUUCUGCAAAACUUCAACCUUUUCCGUGACUUAUAUUUCUCUCCCAUAUAAUUUAUAUCUUUUUUUUUUUUCAUUGUGAAUAAUCUAAUUUUUGUUGUUCUUGCAUUUGGUGUCCAGUUCUGCCCAACCGAUCCAAAAAAACUCUUGGUAACUUCUGCCGACUCAAAAAUCCGAAUCCUCGAUGGGGUUGAGAUAGUGUGCAAGUACAAAGGUAUACAUGUAAACCCCUCGUGAAUAUCAUAAUUAUAGUCUAUAAAAUUGCCCUUUAACCAUCCAAUCUUAACACUUCAUUUGUCACUCACUCCCUAAUCAUCAGGAAUCAAAAGUUCUUCGAGCCAAAUUUCCGCAUCAUUCACUCCUGACGGCCACCACAUUAUUUCCGCCAGUGAGGACUCCAACAUAUACAUAUGGAACCAUGAAAACCAAGAUGGGCCCACAAUGACCCAUGCGAAGAGCACAUGGUCUUGCGAGCGCUUCUUCUCCAGCAACGCAUCAGUUGCGAUACCCUGGAAUGGCUCAUCACUGAAAGAUAUCUUCAGGGGCCUAAACGUGAUUUCAGAAGAUUCGCUUGUGGGCUCUGGUAAUUUCACUCUGAGCCACGAGUAUUUCGCAGGUUUCCUCCCGAGGGGCUCCGCUACUUGGCCUGAGGAGAAGCUCCCCUCCGACUCGAUCACUGCGUCUACUCUGGAUAGGUUGCAGUAUAAGUUCCUACAGGCUUCUUGCCAAAGUGCUUCGCAUGCAUGGGGCCGGGUUAUAGUUACAGCUGGUUGGGAUGGACGGAUCAGAUCGUUCCAGAAUUGCGGGUUACCUCUGCACCUGUGAUCUUAUUACUCCCAAGUCGUGAUCCGUAGGCAGACUCACAUGGCUGUGUUAAAGGCACUGGGGCGUUCUCCUUUUCAGCAAAAGCGCUUAUUGCUGAAGUUGACACUGGUCCAAGUGGUGAUAAAUUAUACCGUACAAAUCGUCACAUGGCUUGGUGCUCCUGUUUGAUUGUACAUGGUCCCGAAUUGUACGUAAAACCCGGUGGUCCUUCGAGAUCUUGACGACCUCAAUGGAUUUUGGGUCUCUAUGUAGAUUUGUGCAGUGUAGGUUUAUGCAGGAGUUUGGUGUUCCUUUUUUUUCCCUUUUCCCUGUUUCCCCCCCCUUAAUAACAAACAUAUUUGACAAAGUAAAUGUAAAGCGGCCCCCGUCGCCUAAAAAUGAGUGGCGGGCAAGGGCGAGCGGGGAGUUAAUUGUACUGUUGGAUAGAGAAAUUCCAUUAAAUUAUACAAAAAUUCAUUUAUUUAUUCAAAUUAAUGUGUGAUCUUUUUGGUGUGGUGGGGUGAACUUAAGCUCUCUCUGGUGACCAUGUUCAGGUGUCUUGUUUUGGGGGGUGUUGUGGUAGGGGAGGGGGGGGGGAGACCUUGUGUAGUUCUUUUCUUGAUGGGGGUAUUGCAGGUGAUGUGUAAUUUUCAUGGGGCCUAAAUGCGAAGGUUUUGAGUGGUCUCCUAAUGCUUAGAGAUCUUGUGAUCAAUUUGUCCUUAAGAUUGGCUCGUGGAUGGUGUAAUGAGUGGUUAGAACAUUGAAAGUUUCCUAUGAUAGGCGAUGCCGACGCCGUUGCCCCUUGUCCUUGCUCUUUUUGUUGUCUCCCAUUCAUCAGAAUCUGCAAUUGAAGGGCUCGAAACAAUUGGAAGAAUCCAAGGUGAUGAAUUUUGGCAUCAUGUGUUACUAGGCUUUAACAUUUGAAUUUUAAGGUCCCUACUAAUUAUUAAUUAUGUUUUCAUAUAGGAGUUUUUUGAAAUUUUCUCGGUUGUGUAUCUAUCAACCUUCUGAUCGAUCCACAAAUUGGAUGGAUACUAAACUAGCUUUGCUAGGAUUGAAAGGUGAAAUGAAUCACAUCUUUUCCCAUAAACCGUUUGUAUGCAUCUUUUUAAUCCCUUUUCUUUAGUUUUUUGCGACUCAUUCGGUCUUCAACUUAUUUCUUAUUAUUUAUUUGGUGAGAAAUUUUGUGGUAUAAAUUUUGGGUUACAUCGAUCGAAAUACAACCACAAAGACUAAAAGCUUUUGAUCUUACGAGGCCCGUGACCUCGAUUUGUACCAACGGGCUGUUAGGAAGCAGAAAAGUACCGAUCUCCGUACAAUUAUGAAUGAAAAUUUGGGUGAUCUCGUCGUAUCAGUGCCGAAACAAAUUAUGAAUGAAAAUUUGGGUGAUCUCGUCGUAUCAGUGCCAAAACAAACUCCGCCCCGACGAUUUUCUUGAAGUCACGAGUUCAACCUUUGUCGUCAUGUUAACAUUUUUUUUAGGAGGGUUUUAAGGGUGUUUAUAUUAUGUUCGGCCCAAAUUAUGACCCAACCUGGCCAAGCCCAGUUGUUGGACAAGACCUAGGCCUAAGAGCUGGUAUUAGUUACUGUCAAAUGGACUCGGACCAUGAUUGGACCCAGCCCGUUAAGGCCCAUUAGUUCCCAGUUGACCCAAUAUCCGUGAAAUGAUUCUUCGUCUCCUUCGGGCUCUUCGCACAUUCCCCAAAGAGCUUCCGCCAAAAACGAAGGGGGAAAAGAAAAUGGCGGGGUGCGUCUCUCCAUCGUCGUCCUCGUGGAAGCCGCUUCUCCGCAAAGCGCUCGACUCCAACGCCCACCUCAAGCACUCCGUCUUCUUCCAACUCGUACUCCCCCGUCCCCUCUCUCCAUCUCUCUUUCGCUCUCUCUUUCUCUCGAUUCCAAUUUCUCCCCUUGUAGGCGACGAUCGGAGCUAAUGGGAGACCCUCGAAUCGCACCGUGGUAUUCAGGUUCCGGUUCUUCGACUCCCAUCUCCCUCGCUCUUAUCUUCGGCUCAAUUCCUAAGUAAAUGCUUAGAAAUUUACUAGUUUUGACUAUAAUUUUGUUUGUUUGGUGGUUUCGGUUUGUGUAGAGGGUUUCAGGAGAAUGGUGAUAAGAUUCAGAUCAACACAGAUGUCCGAAGCAAUAAGGUAUAACUUUUUUUCCACCCCCCGCUUUUAUUUGUCCUUAUUUAUGGCCCUGAUGUGAUCGUCUAAGUGUUUGUUUGGGGAACUUCGACAGAUUGAGGAGAUCAAGCAUUGCCCCUUUGGAGAGGUAUUUGGCUUCUCAACUUUAUACUAUAUCUUUUUAUUUGCUAAAAAGUGGUUCUUUUAGAUUCCUAUGAGCAUAUAUGAAGCUUUUUUAGAUACUACAAUUAUUGGUAUUAAAGUGAAAAAAUUAGGUUGUGUUCCCAAAGAUAACAUUUAAUCUAUGCUUGCAAUACGAUUUACAAUUAUCGCGCCAAGAGGUCCAAAUGUGCCUACUUUGCAUACUUAGUCCUUGUUGUAAUCUAUGACAGCAUACUAAAUUAAGAUUAUUACGGGUACCUUCUUCCUGUGCUCAACAAAAUUACAAAAGUUUUAGUAGACCUGUGUUCUGUGUUUCGAUCUAUGAAAAUCUGGCUCCCUGCAGAUAUGUUGGUACUUCACCGACUCCUGGGAGCAGUUCCGAAUAAAUGGAACGAUCGACUUCAUUGAUGGGUCGAACUCUGAUCCUGCAAAGCUUCAGGUUAGACUGUUUAAGAUGUAUUCAGAACUUUCUGGCAAGGGUGUUGUGUUUCAAAAGUUCUAAAAGAGAAGUAAUGUGGAAAUAUGCUAAUUCAGGGCGUCAAAUUCUUACGGGAAUUGCAUAUUCACACUAAAUAGGAAAAAAGAAAAAAAGCAAAGGACCCACGCACAUAUUACUACUAUAUAUUAAUUCUUAUAGGAAUUUUUAAUAUAUUUUUUUGAUUUCAACUGUUCAGAUUAAUACUACAUUUAGAGAUUAGCUUGUUUUUCUCCUUCUAUAUUCUAUAAAACUUGACAGCCUUAAUCUUGGAACUGGUUGUACUAUAUAUCGUACUUUCAAAAUGCACCAUAGUUCAGGUAUCUCUUUAAUAAACAAAAAAGUUAAAAAAAAAAAACCUUUUGAACGUGAAGAACUACUUGAUUGUCACAGAGAGACGCUCUUUUUUUUCUUUUUUUUGAGGAAACAAGCCCAUAGGCUAGAAAGGCUGCACUUUAUGGUUCAUAAGUACCUUGUAAAUGCAGCAAAGGGAGAAAGCUUGGUUCAUGAGUUCUUUAAAGUCAAGAAUGCAAUACUUAGGACCUGCUCCUGGUAUUCCAGUUAUAGAUGAAGGUACUGCGAAGGAGAACCAUCUUGAUCCAACUGCUGGCCCAGUUGAUGCAUUCUGCCUCUUGGUUUUCGACCCAGAACAGGUUAGAGCGUCAAUAACACCAGUCUUUUAGCAGUUAAAUUGUUUACAUCAUGAUCUUUUUACUUAUUAUAUGCAAUUUAUGCGAAUUGAUAUUUAUAAAAAAAACAUGCUUUUUCAGGAUGGGGAGGGUAUGGAAAAAUUCUAUUUGCAAUAUAACUAUCUGGUGUUAUAUUUUCAUGCUGGACCUAUAGCUUACUUUCUGCUAUUUCUUGGUUAUUGUGUACUCAGGUCGAUUACCUAAAUUUAAAAAGCAAUGAGAGGCUGAUGUUCAGAUCCAGACAAAGUAGUGAUGGCGGCAAAGGUUGGAUGUUUGAGAGAGUCAACCCAUAAGAUGUGAAAUUGGCAUCACAUGUCUACAGCAUCUCAAUCUGCACAAUUUUGAUGGUAAUCAACUGUGGCAUUAAAGUCAUUCUUUUAAAUCCAAUGUUCUUUUUUGGUAAAACUUGCUUAUAAUGCUAGAGUAUUGUCAAGUUUCCUCUGCAUUCACUGUUCAUAAAGCCCUGUUCCUGAAAAUGUGGCUGCUUCAACGGAAAUUUCAUAACCAUUCUUUUCCUUGUUAUAAUCGUGACAUCUGGGAAUCAGGAAACUAUUUUCAAUUGAAACUUUUAGAUGCAAGAAUAAGGGCUUGUAAUAUGGUUGAAAUAUUUUAGUUGAUAGAUUUUCAAGCAUGGAAAAGCUCUGUACCAUUGUAUAUUUACUGACAUUUGGUUGCAUUAUUCAAAUGCUGCAUUUGAUAAAACAUUUGAGGGACCAAAGGAGUUAUUCAGAAUCUGCACUUUUUGAGUACUAUUUAGCAUUGUUGUUAUGCUAGAACACUUGAGAUAACAAAUCAGGAACGAGAAAAUCGUAGUAAGCAACAUCAUUAGUUUAAUCUUCGAUAUCAGAUGAGAGAACUUUGCAUUGUCUAAAACGGGGAGCUAGGAAUUAGUACUCACACAUCUGUGCCUCUUGCAUAGUUGGAUCCACCAGCUAAUGUUGAGUUCCUCCCAUGGAAUGCACCAUGCUCAAAUGAGCAUUUCAUUGGAAACCCUAAUGCUCUCUAAGAGAGAGCAUAAAAUGUAUUUGCAUCUUAAAUGGAAUACUCAUUUGAGCAAGAGGCUUUCCCAUGGGAAGGUAAGGUAGUGGUCUCUUCUCCUACUGAAAAGGUUGAUCCCCACAACACUUCUUAUAAAGGGGUUUGCCUGUAGAGAGUUAACUACCAGUUUUAAGGACUUGUUGCAAGGGAGUGUGGUGGGUUGAUGGUUUGUUGCAACCUCCAUACGCAGCGGAAUGUUAAGCUUGGGCUGUCAGUUGGCAGAUGAGAUCUGGGGACUUGCUCAGUAAGGACUGCAGUGCAAAGUCGCAUCUCAACUACUAGAUCAGCUUCCCACAUGCGAGCAUACUGGGACGGACGCUAGAAGAACUUCAAGUGCGUCGCAGUCCACAUAUAAAGUUACACUACGUAUGUCGAUUUGAUGCUGAACUUUAAUCAAAGGUGAAAUGAAUUUCACUUUUUAAAGGGGACCGUUAGAUAGCUAGCAUAUCAGUACACUGGGGCCACAGGGAAUCUGCGUCCUCUAGCUUUUCCUAGCAUUCGUUACAAGAGAAUUAUCUUCUCACGAGAUGUUAUUAUUCAAACUUGUUACUAGUCAUUAUUGUGUAACCUAUAUUAGUUACAGUAUAGCUUUAAAUAAUCUUAAGCAGUUAUGAGGUCUCAAUAACUUCACUUCAUAUUCGCUAGUUAGAGUCUUUUGUUCCUUUUAUUAGUGCUUAGGCCGACACAAAUUUCCACACAUCUCCAAAACACGCAUAACAGCAACCAUAUGGAGGGUUAGUGGGGAGUUAGGUUUGUUGGAAUCUCAAUGCAUAAAAUUGAAAAAGGCGAACUAAUGAAUCGUUUUUGACUUUUAUAUUUCAGAUGCUCAAUAUACACUUAACGACAAACAUGAAAUUUUGCAACAAAGAAUGAAAAAAGUCAAAUAAACUCCAAAUUAUAACACGCCCAAUAAUUAAAUCGAUCGAAAAGGACCAAACAACUAGCCCCGUAACAUUUUCAACUCUCAUCUACCGUUCAUCAACACCGGGGUAGGUCGGAGGGAGGAUGCGGUAGAGUCUCCAACGGUCCCUGACCGUUCUUCACAAUAAUUGCCAUGGAGAGUCCCCAGGACAUGUGAACCUCUAGGUGACAAUGCACGAACCAAACUCCUGCACCAACACCAAAUUAAAUUGAUGAUUAGAAAUAUAAAAGACGAGAAAUUUAAAAAAGAAAUACUUGAGAAAAAAAUUUGUUAUUUAGUAGUAUUAGCAAAGACGUUAUUUUAAAAUUCCUCUUAUAGUUUCUUUUAGCAUUUCUACAAAUUAAAAGUUUUCCUUAUUAAUUAGUCCUGAUAAAAAGCAGAAGCAAAAAUAAGAUCAAAUGGGAACCACAGCAUAUAUCGCUAAAUUACCUGGAUUGUCGGCGAUGAAUCGGAUUGCUGCCCAUCCCCCGACCGGGACGCCGAUCGUGUUCAUGUACGGCGGGUCGACCAAGUUGAGCUUCGCGGUCGACGGAUUGUAGUUCCCGGUCCCGUACCCGACGACGUAGAAGCUAUACCCAUGCAAAUGGAUCGGAUGGUUCUCCGUGGUCACCGUCCCCGUGUCCUGGAACACGAGCUGCACCCUACUCCCGUAGUCGAGAACAUAAACCUUAGUCCCGUUCAGGGACUGCGUAUCAUUGGGUAUGUUAUUUGGCGCCCCGUGCACAAAAUCAUAUGCCCUCAACGGCACACCCGGGAAAUCCUCAGUGUAGUGACCGUUUAUGCUGCUGUAGUAGGCCUGCAGCAAAGAGAUUGUGGGCCUUACGAAGCUCACGUUGUUCAUCGACGCCGCGAAGAUCCCGCCGUUGGGCCCCUGACACGUCUUGUUGGGCUUGGCCCGGUCGCACUUGUCGACGUUGAGGCCGACGGUGAAGAGGAGGUUGGCGUCGAUCUCGAGGGGGAGGCUUGCGGGGGCGUUGAGGCUGCGGAGGCCGUCCAUGUUCGUCUUCACGACGAGGUUGUUGUUGAAGGCCGGGAGCUGCGCCGGGAGGCCCAGCGAGUCCACGCCAGCGCCCGUGUACUGGAAGUAGGCGACGGCUGAGAUGUUCUGGAAGGUGACGUUCUGGGCCGACAUGUACGGGCCCAUGGCCAUCUCGUACUUGGCGAUGGGCCGGUCGGCCGUCAUGAGCACGUUCGCGGUCUGGCCCGGGCCGAGCAUCAGGUGGUCCGUCGCGAACGGCUUCGUGUACUCGCCGUCGGCCUCGACGACGGUCAUCUUGUGCUCCGCAAUGGAGAAGAAGUGCUCCGUGUUCAGCGCCGCGUUUAUAAGCCGCAGGAGGUAGGUUUUGCCGGGGACUACGUCGAUCUUGUAGUAAUCUGGAUCAAUACGUAAUUGUGUUGAUUUCGCUCUAAUUUGGGUUUAGUAAUCUCAUUCUGCUUUUGGGUAUAAUCUAAUUACCGUGGGCCGAGCAAUUGUAGCGUGGGCCGGGGUGGCCGUUGAUGAGAAAUGCGUCGGCCGGCGGGGCGGCUCCACCGCUCGCCAGAACCUGCUUCUCCAGCUGCACCACAUCCUUGUUCCAAUACUCACCUAACACACGACUUACUACUGUUUAGAAAAUGCAUAAACAAUCGUUUGUUCUCUAAAAACUUAAGCUAUUUAUAUCCAACAAGCGCGUACCGAGGAUGAGGAUGUGCUCCUCGUAGGGGGUGGGGAAGGGAUAGGGGACGCCGGUCUUGGGGUAGACGACGAUGGCGCCGUAGACAGUGCCGCGGAGCCAGGAGACGUGGGCGUGCCACAGCAGCGUGCCCUUCUGUUGGAACAGCGUGAACUCGUACGUGAACGUCUGCCCUGACUGGAUCGGGCACUGCGUGAUGUACGACGGCCCGUCCGACCAGCACGACAGCCGCUGCCGCACCCCGUGCCUACACACAUCCACACAACACAACACACACAAGGGCGAAAAAUAUGCAUUGAUUAGAUUUAUGAAUGCAGCAAAAUUCUGUUAGUAAAUAGUGAUCAGAUUCAAUAAAUUUUUUUACCAGUAAUAAAUUUGGCGCUAUUAAUAACCAACAUUAAGAUUUUGUGAAUUGUUCUGGUAUUACUUUAGUACUAUCACUAACUAGAUCUCUAUAUUUUCUUUUAUUUAAAUAUGUUAGUUUGUGAAUUUUCUUUUUUUUACAUAAACUGUACUUUUAGUUUUUUUUUUUUCAAUUUCCUACAAUCAAAACAACUGUAUAUAUGUAUAUAUUUUAUUAGAAUCUUCGUUUAACAGAUAUAUUAAAACUAGAUUGUAAUGCAUGUAAAAACUUUUAAAUUAAAAUGUUUUAUAUAGAGCAAUACGAUAGCGCAAGAAUCGCUCGUUCACACUUUUAUCUUAAAAUAAACAGUGCCAUGAACCACAUGCGUACUCAACGUACUAUAGAUAGAUACUUAAGAUACGAGGGGUUAAUUUAUUUUUCUGAGUUAAUUAAUCAACAAUGAAGUAGUUAAUUAAUUAAUUAAUUAAUUACCAGUGGAUGGUUGCGUUGUAGGGUGUCUCGUUGGUGACCUUGACGAUGACGCGAUCGUCCUCCUGCGCGUACACGACGGGGCCUGGGUACAUGCCAUUGAUGGUUACGAUGUCCCUCGUCUUACACAGCUUCGUCACCUUCAACGUUUGCACCUUCACAUUUUCCACACAUAUAUAUUCAUCAUUUAUAAACUCAGUAUAUAAUAUAGGUUUCCUUCAACAAAAAAUAAAAAAAAUACAAUACAGGUUCUAUAACUCUACCCCUCCGGUGUAAAUAAUAAUAAUAAUAAUAAUAAUAAUAAUAAUAAUAAUGUAUGUUUAAUGAUUGAGUUAUGGGAGAUCUCGCCAUCUCAGACCAAUUUGAAUAUAAGAAUUAUAAGUUAUUCAGCAAUAACUAGUAGGCUGCUUGAUGGCUAAGCCCUUGUUUGGUUGGGGGUUAAGGGGUGGAAUAACCCCUUAACUCCCAUUUUAUUCCCAAACAUUCCAAAAAAUCAGUGGGGUUAGCUAAUCCCACCUAACCCCACCUCAAAUAAAUUAUUCCGGGUUAGCUAACCCCAUCUAACCCCACCAAACUCCAACCAAACACUAUUUUCUAUUCAUAAUAACCCACUAUCUUUCUUAUCACACCUACUCCAACCAAUCAUUAUCCUUCUUUAUCAAUCAUUAUCUUUUUAUCCCACCUACUCCAACCAAACACUAUUUUUCAUUAUUCUAGACUAACUCUAACCUCCGACCAAACACAAAAAAACUUUAACCCCACUUUAACCCUGAACUUAACCCUAUCCCUGAAAUAGCUACUUUUUCCUUAACCCCGAACCAAACGGAGGCUAAGGGUUUGGUGGUUGGUAUUGGAGAUCUCAAGUUCGAAUUCUAGCUGAUUCAUAUUUCCAACUAAGUUUAUUUCUAAAAAAAAUAAUCGAAGGGGUAGCAUACUAUCUUUCUCUCUAAAAAAAUAAAAUAAAAAUAGUAGGCUGCUUUUAAUUGUAUAUUGUAAAGCCAUAAUAAUGAUGAAUUUUUUUAGAAUAUUAUAUUUUAUCUGCUAAAUAAUUUAUAGACAUGUAAUUAGGCUCCCUCUCAAUCAAUUAUUUUAAGAUCUUUUAGUAAACAGGAGGAGGGAAAAAAGUAUCAAAGGGAUCUAAAUGAUUACAUGCANUAAUUACCAGUGGAUGGUUGCGUUGUAGGGUGUCUCGUUGGUGACCUUGACGAUGACGCGAUCGUCCUCCUGCGCGUACACGACGGGGCCUGGGUACAUGCCAUUGAUGGUUACGAUGUCCCUCGUCUUACACAGCUUUGUCACCUUCAACGUUUGCACCUUCACAUUUUCCACACAUAUAUAUUCAUCAUUUAUAAACUAGUAUAUAAUAUAGGUUUCCUUCAACAAAACGAAAAAAAAUACAAUAUAUAGGUUCUAUAACUCUAUCCCUCCGGUGUAAAUAAUAAUAAUAAUAAUAAUAAUGUAUGUUGAAUGAUUGAGUUAUGGGAGAUCUCGCCACCCCGGACCAAUUUGAAUAUUAGAAUAAGUUAUUCAAGCAAUAACUAGUAAGCUGCUUGAUGGCAAAAGACUUGAUGGUUGGUAUCCAUGUUCUAAGUUUGAAUUCUAACUGAUUCACGUUUCCAAACUAAGUUUAUUUUUUAAAAAAAUAAUCGAAACAGGUAGCAUACUACCUUUCUCUCUAAAAUAUAUAAAAAAAACUAGUAGGCUGCUUUUAAUCCUAUAUUAUAAAGCCAUAAUAAUGAUGUUUUUUUAAGAAUAUUAUAUUUUAUCUGCUAAAUAAUUUAUAGACAUUUAAUUAAGUUCCCUCUCUAUCAAUUAUUUUAAGAUCUUUUUUAGUAAACAGGAGGAAGGAAAAAAGUAUCAAAGGGAUCUAAAUGAUUACAUGCACAAUUAAUAAGUCACUUGCUAUUAUUCAAGAAGAAAUACUAUCUAUACACCUAUAACAUAGAUGUAAGAUUUACAAUCUGUUCAAAAAAAAAUACUAUCUGUACACCUAUAGACCUGUAUUUUUUCACUUGUCUUAUCAAUUUUUUUUUUUUUUAUAUUAGGAUCUAAAAAAGUUUUUUGAAUCCUAUAAUAAAAGAGCCAUAAGAUUUAUACUUAUCCGUAAAUAUACAGUAGUAUUUUUCUUAUUCAAGCGACCAAAAUGGUCGCUACUUAUUAGUCAAAGGACCAAAAAUAUUGGUUAUGCUAGUGUGGAGCUAUAUAGGAAGGUCGAAACUACUAGUCACUACUAUGGUAUAAAAUAAUUUGGAUAAUUGGGCACAUAGAGCAAGUGACAAAGGACUUGAUAGUUGGUAUACGAGGUCCUAAGUUCGAAUCCUAAUUGAUUCACAUUUCCAGCUAAGUUUAUUCUUUAAUAAAAUAAAUGAAACGGGUAGUGUGUUACCUAUCUCUCCAAAAAAAAAGAUAGUUGGGCCCAUAAAUGGUAUUUAUUUACGCAUGAAAAUUUUAGCUCAUGCCUAGCUAGGUCCAGGGCAAAUUAUUGCUUCAACAUUUUCCACCGUGUCAUGCAUGGAUUACAUUGGGCCAGUUUAAAAAAGGCGACUCAUAUAUAUAUAUAUAUAUAUAUAUACACCUCACAAAAACUUAAUUAUUAAGGCCAUAGAUUCUCUUACUUUUAGGUCUAGAAAGAACACCAUUGGCUAAACCAUGCAAGUUAAGUUUUUUUUUUUUCCUUUUUUAACUAAGAAAAUAUUGGCUUGUGCUUCUUUUAUUAUAAAACUCAUAUCAACUUUAGCGGAAUUUGAGACCAUCAUCUGUAACUCUCUAUCAGAGAUGAACUUUUUGUCAUAGGGUAAAUUAAAUUGUUUUAGAUAGUUUAUAUGGCAUUUUUAGCAUUCAAUUAAUGAGUUUAAAUUCUUCUGAAGUUUAUGCAGGCGCGAGACUAUCCUUUUUUCCUUUUCUAAAACUUCUCUCUAAUUAUAAACCUUAUUUUUCAAGAGAAAGAAAUGUACCACCUUUUCUUUUUGAGAGAGAGAGAGAGCUAUCCGCCUCAUUCAUUUUUAGAAAUAAAAUGUGACGCAACAAGGCUAAGAAUUGAGACCUCCAGGAACAACAAGCAAAUUCUUAACCAACUGUGUUACGUAUGAUCGCUGAUAUGAAACAACUAUUAUUUUGCAAAAGCUUAGGUUAUUAGAGAAUCUGCUAUUUUGAUAUCAUAUUAAACAAUGUGAAAACAAUUGUUAUUCUCGAAACGAUUAAGUAAUAAGAGUACGAUUUUUAAUUAUUUUUAUAUUCAACACAACUCAACACAACUAAAUGAAAUUGUUUUCAAACUUUCGGAGUAAAGUGAGUCCCCAUUUUUAGAAAAAGAUAGCGCGCUACCUGCUUCAUUCAUUUAUCAAAUGAAUUUAGCUAUAUGAAGUAAGACAGUAAAGCCUUAGAGAAAAGAAAAACCAAUAGGAAAAAUGUCAAAAAAAAACAAAACCAAAAGGAAAGGAAAACAAAAAAAGGGGACAAAAAAAUUCGUAAGCGUUAUCCAAUUCUACAAUACUCAAUCCACACCCUCGCCUGCACUCCAAUGUGUUACGCAGUUAAAAUAGCACCAUAGAUAAAUUUUUAAAAAUAAUAAUUUUUUUUCGCGCAGGUAGAGGGAGUGUUGAAAUGGCUCACAUACAUUUAACAAGCCAAGAAAACAUUCCAAGAUGAGAGAGAGAGAGAGAGAGAGAGAGAGAGAGAGAGACCUUGAAGUCGUAGAACCUAGUGGAUCCUCCGAUUGGCCAACGCUUGUGUUGGUGGAUUGCUAAGCUUAGUGGAGCACAACAUGACAUCAAUAAGCUUAGCCAUAAGAUGAGAUAAGAAGAGUACAUGCCCAUCUCUCUCUCUCUCUCUCUCUCUUCCCUCUAUAUACCACCAAUUAACUAACUAGCUAGUGCCUUGCGCACCAAAUGCAGCAACUCAAUAGUGCAUGCCACAACUUUUGAAUAUAAGUAAAGGAGCAUGAACCCCUUUAUAUACUCGGUCUCUUCUCCCUUGUCCCACAAUAAAACAUUAUUUAACUAAAUAAUGAACAAAAGAAAACGAGAGAGGAGGAGAGAGAAAAGAGAGAGAUUUUUCUCUUCUGUCCAGAUAUGCAAAGAGAGUGAGGUUGGCAGGUUUCAUGAUUCUCCUAACCCGUGUUCGUUAUUAUUAUGCCUUGUCGGAGAGAGGUCGCACUCUCCAAUUAUUAUAGGCUUUUGUUGGUUUUGGUAACCAUUUACGCUCUGUUUUUUCCCCUAUAGCUAGUAAUCCAAAAUAAUAAUAAUAAUAAUAAUAAUAAAAGUAAUUAAAAAAAAAAGAUCAAGAAGGAAUCGUCACCAUUGACUAAAGGGCAUCAUAUACUCAUCUGACCUUUAAAUUACAUAGGGUUAAUUUUAUACAGGUCCUGCAAAUAAAAUGAAUUGCAAAUUUAUCUCUACAAAAGUUUAAUUUUUAUAUAUUGUCCCUACAAAAGACCUAAUAUUUUCAAAUAUAUCUUUCUAGUUUGUUACCGUGUUUAUUUUAUAAAUGAAAUGACCUUUUUGUCAUUUCAAAUACGUCCCUACAAAAGUCCCAACUAUUAAUUAAGAUGGGUGAAAAGGUCAAUUCACUUCAUUAACUAAUAGGGUUAAGUAUUUUAUCUAUAGUUAAUUAAUUUUUUCUAACGGAUCCUAAAGACAAGGACAUAUUUGAAAACAUCAGGAUUUUUACAGAGACAAUAUAUGAAAAUUGAACUUUGUAGGAAUAUAUUUGUAAUUCACUAUAUUNGACAAGGACAUAUUUGAAAACAUCAGGAUUUUUGCAGAGACAAUAUAUGAAAAUUGAACUUUGUAGGAUUAUAUUUGUAAUUCACUAUAUUUGUAGGGACCCGUAUGAAAUUAAUCCUAAAUUUUAUUAUGGGCCCGCAUUUCUCAUAAGGUGAAAAAUGGAGAAAAAGGGGACUUUUUGAGCAAAGUUGGUGACAAGGGAGGACAAAAUGAAGUAGAGAGGCUUCGAUGGAUCCGAUCUCCAAGUACCCAACUUCUCUCAAAAGGUUUUAUCUGGGAUUUAAUACCAAAUAAAUUGAAGUAAAAGUUAAAAAGAAAAGCUUUAAUUUGGAAGGACAAAAAGGUGCUGUGUGGACUUGGACUCUAUUUCUCACAAGACAUUGGAUAAGUUGCUAAAUAUGGAGCUCAUAGUUUUCUACAGUACUUAUGAUGUCAAACAAAACUAACUAGUUACAAAUUAGUGUUCUAAAUUUGUUCAUUCAUGAGUUGAUGCAUUAGGAAUGAUUUGCUAAUUAAGUUGCAAGCUAAAUUGUAUUUGUAACAGUAACUUUAUGGAUUUUAUUUUCUCGACAAGUACAUGACCGUUGAUAUAGAUCUUCAUUUACUUCUGACCUUUUCAUUUUUUUGAGCAACAGGAUUUAGGACUCUAAAAUUCCUAAAACUGAGAUUCAAACCCAUGACCUCUCGUGCCAGCACCAAGGGUACCAACCACGAGCCCUAAGCCUUGGGUGUACUCUAAUUUAUUAAUUACAACUGACUUACUAUUCAUAGUUGAAAUUAAUAAUGUAUCUGCGUAAAUAAAGCCUGUACAAAAGACCAAUCAGCAUAAACAGAGUAUUAAACUAUGGUUUGUGUUCUCCCUAUUCAUUUAUGGUUGGUUAGUUAUAUCCCUAAGUACAGAGAAAGAAAAAAGCCUCACCAUUAAGUACCGAAAAAAAUUCGCCAAAUUUGCUGCCCUAAGAUUUUCCUUUUCAAUCGGCCAACAAGUGGGCGGUUAGUAUAUACCGCGACGCAACCUGAUUCCUUGUAAUUUCAACAUUAGGUCAUGGAAAUUGGUUCUUAAAGGCCCCAUCAUUAGUUGUGUCAACGGCGGGCAGUUAACCUAAAACCCAUGCAUACAUAGGAAGAGCAUCAAAAAUAUAUAAAUUCCCUACUCUUAACCGCAAACUUGAUGCAUAUCAACUAUAUCUAAUAAGUCUCCUAUUGUAUGUGACACUUCACCUACAACCAUGCAAUUGAAAAAGGAAGAAUAUAUAGAAAGAAAGGAGAACAUAACCAACUCCUUUUCCUCCUAAUUCGUUUUUUGUGCUCUAGUGUUAUUCUAGUUUAGUUCUAAACUUAAUAAUGCUAUCCUCAUGGAUACACCCAUGUGAAGGGAUACAAAAUAUGGACAAAGAUAGUUAAUUAUAGCUAGGGGGAGUAGGCAUCACCUUUACCAAACAUUUUUGUGGUAUCUUCACAGUGAUCAUUAGCUGUACGUGUUGCUACAGCCAAAUAUAAUCAAAAUUCUUGCAUAGUAAAGAGGUAGCGGCGGCCGAACCCUAUCGGUUAAAUUUUUUCGUAUGCAUUUGUAGCUUCUGUAGUAUAUGAUAUCAAGGUCAUGUUUAAUAAUGCAAGGCCUAAGUUCUGAAGAUAAAAAAUAAAGUUCUAACACGCAAGUCUUAAAUCUACGCCUCUACUGUAAGCCAUAUACUUUAGCGUUUCAUUCCCUACGCAUCAAGCAGUUCUAAAAUCAGUGGAAUUUCUCAAUUAGGAUAAAUAUUUGUAUGCAAGCCCUUUCAUUUGCUGUGAGUAAUAUAACUAACUUACAUUUCAAUUUUACGGUCAUUGUUUUCAAUUUUGAAUUUAUGUAAAAUUCUUUAACUUUACACAGUUGUGUGCAGAUGAGAGGAAAUAAAACUUCAUUUGGACUCUGGCUCUAAUGAUUCAUAAUAAGCCCCAUAUGAUUCUAAAGAGUAACCUAUCAGAAUUUGGGCCAUGCUCAAUCCUGACGCUUAUGAUCACUGACCAUGCUAUAGAUCUAGCACAUGGGAACUUCUUCUUUCGGCGGCAAUUGUUCAACAAAAGUAAGCAACUGAGGCUGUUUUGUUCAUCACUUGUGCCUUGUCACAUGAAAAUGGGAAUUGGCAAACAAAUGAACAAAUUAAAGAUCGCUUAAAGAUUCAAACAGAAUGGUAAAUGGCGACUUUUGAAAGAGCAAAAUAUAGGCUAAUCGUUGGUUCGGUUGCGGUUUCACUAGUCAGAGAAUUUAACGUUGCAACCAACAAUAAACAUCCACAAGUACAUAUAAGUUUGCAAAACAAAAUGUCGCCCAAUCAACAAGUUCGGACCAUGCAGGUAAUACAAUUGAACCUAUGCAUAGAAACCCAAAUAUACGGUUGGAUAUAAACUGAUGAUCAAAAGUUAAUUGGCUAUCUUAAGAGUUUACAGAGCUGUUUAUUGUAGGUUUUAUAUAUGAUUUUUAAACAUGAGGUGUUGUGCAACAUCAAGUCAGUGGAAAAUGCAAGUAAAGAACAAUUUUCUUUAAGUUUCCUAGCUACCUAGAGCUAGGUUGUUUUGACCACAUUGUGUGUGUAAAUGUGAUCCCCAUUCUAGUUAUUGGUGUCAUGCACAAUAAAGCAAAAAAUGUAAAAUUCCCUGGUUUAUCAUUACCAAGUAAAAGUGGAAACAAUUAUUCUGUAAAAAACACUAUUAUACCUCCUCCUGACUCUUUUUUUUCUUUACUCUUUACGCUGUACAAUUUUCCCUUCCAAUACUGUUGGCUCUUUGAGCCAACACAUGUUGUUAUCUUCAGCAGCGUCAUAUAUGUAUAUAACAUUUCAUGGAAAAUUGUUGUUUAAAUGAGCAGCGUUAUCUCCAUCGGGCAUUUUAUCAAGCACUAAGCACGCACUGUUCACAUGACAAGGUUACUAACAUGAUGAUGGCCAAAUAUAGAAGCACAGAGAUUUUGUACGCACCUUUUUUUAAAGUGAUGAUGGGAAAAUCUCUUCGUUCAAUCCCAUCUUGAGAUGACCCAUCUCAGAAUAAUUCUAGAGAAACCUUAAUAUUUUGAGAGAGAGCUAAUUUGUGGAGAAUGAGGAGAGUUAAAAAAAGUGAGGUGAAGUCGGGGGCGAAUCAAGUAAUUUCACCGACUCCUACUCACUGAAAUCGGCAGCGAUACGCACAUUUCGGCCGACUUCGUUCUAGACGAGCAUAUAUCGAACUCGGUAGCGCAAAAGCUGAGUUUGCCGACUUCUACUUCCUUUAGGUGGAGUCUCCGACGAAGCCAGCACAAACACAUUCGUUUUAUCACCAUUUCAACUAUACUGUUCCGAGUAUAUCGAAUUAUUGUUUUUGAAAGAUGAUUGUGCAUACAGUAGCAUAAUGACUGAAUUGAAGACAUACCUCUUUGAACCAUUCAUGGCCAUAGAAGGCAAAAGGACUUAGGGUGUGUUUGUGUUAGUGCUUUGUAAAAGGCCGAAGGUCACGAGCUCCUGCUGUACAUCCAAUCUCAACUUCGUCUUGGUAGGGGACAAAGAUGUGAUCUUGCAUUGUACACGAAGUCAGGGCCAGUUCUAACAGCCCGUAUGAUUCCAAUCACUCUCUGCGUUCUGAUCUUCAACUUCGCCAGUCGCCACCAAAUGUCAGCGCUUGCAGAUUGACAAGAUGAACAACUUCAUGCAGAGAGAUCUGAAUAUACAAACACACGCUUAUGUGACAACAUUGGCUUCUAGAAUAUAUAUUAGUACAGCAUCUAGGAUAUAAUUAAUAUAAAACAGACAACUUGGUAGUACAUUGUACUGCAGCGUUAGUAACAAAGGUACAGUUGCUACCAACCGUCCCUAGAGCAAGUGGCAAAGAACUUGGUGGUUGGUAGCCGAGACUCAAGUUCGAAUCCCAGUUUAUUCACAUUUUCAGCUAAGUUUAUUUCUAAAUGAAAUAAAACGAAGCGGAUAGCGUGCUACGUGCCUACCUAUCUCUCAAAAAAAAAAACAAAAAAAACAAGGGUACAGUUGCUAAGCUGGCCUAUAAACCAACUUAAGGGACUUAGUACACCUAUGAUGAUGCACAAUCUUAUGGAUUCUAUAAUAAAUAGCUUGGUUCAUGCCAAGUCAUGUUCAAAAAUUGGGCUCGUUAGUUGGAUUGAAAGUAUAAAUACGGUGGACACGCCAUAAUGUUAAUGAAGCUAAUAUUGUCAAUCCCCGGUCGCAUAGAUAAAUUAAGUUAAGACUAAGUAUGCAAUUGUUUUUUAUGUGACUAAUUUGUUAAACAAUACGGUAGAUCCCCCUCAAUGUUAAGAGGUUGUAACUUCCUCUUUCACCUUUUCUACUAGUACCACACAAAUCAAUUUUUUUGGAAAAUGAAAAAGACACUCGGUGAAAAUGUCUUAGGUUGUCCCAGGUUCAAGUUCAGUUGCAUUUCAUUUGGGUUAUGGGUUCUUUCCCUUUUUGUUUUUCUUUUUCAGGAAAAAGACCCUAGGUAAAUAUAUUAAAGCUUGAUAUAUUACAAGCAUUAUAAUAGGCUAUUAAAGGGUACACUACUAUGUUAACCCAAAUCCGCUGGUUAGAGGAUACGAAAAGAAAAAAUCUUUAGAAUCCGAGCCCAGAGGCUCUGAAAAAACAAAGAAUGUAGUAAGUGUCAAAAAAAUAGAGCUAGAGAAUUUAUCGACAGGGUUAUUGUUAAUAUGUAGCUUCUUUUUAGAUAUCUUAUUUCACAAUAUUAUCUAAUAUAUUAUUGAUAUAUUGAUAAAUUUAUAUAUAUAUUUUUACUAUGUGUAUAGUUAAAUCACAAUUCUUUAUAUUAUUAUAACAUCAAUACAUUAAUAAUAUAAUAAAAAAAUUAUUGUGAAGAAUCCAAAGCAUUUUUUAAAAAAAUCUAAAUUUUAGACACAUUAAAGUUGGUUCGAACCAAUUUACACUAGCAUUUGGCGCUCAAAAGAACGGCAUCCCCAAAUAUCCCCACUCCACUCGCAUGAUCGCAUCUUAACCUCUCCCCCUCCACGUAGACGCUCCCAUGCGAACUCCCCCCUCUUUCCCCAACCAUCGAGCCUCGAUCUCCGCGACCUUUAUCGCCCACCCCAAAACCCCAACCCCAUCGGCCAUCGCACACCUCACACUCCCAAAACCCUUUCCCCUUUAACCCCUCUCCUCCUCUUCCUCCUCCUCCCCGCUCUUCUUCCUCUUUCUCUUCUACUCAUCUCCAUUAAUGGCGCCCCAGGUCACCAUCCUAGUGACCGGAGGGGCCGGGUCCAUCGGCAACCACACCGUGCUCCAGCUCCUCAACGAGGGUUUCCGCGUCCACAUCAUCGACAACCUCGACAACUCCGUCGCCGAGGCCGUGGAUUGGGUUAGGUCUCUCGCGGGACCUGAGCGAUCGCGCAAUCUCCAUUUCUACGUGGUGAGCAUUUUGGGGUCGUGGUCUCUAAGUUUGGUCUCUUUUGGGAUUUGGGGUGUGAUAAUGCGAUGGCGUUUUUGGUUUUGCUGGUGCAGGGUGAUCUUCGGAACAAGAAGGAUUUGGAGAAGGUUUUCUCUCAAGCAAGGUGGUAUUUCUUUUUUUCUUCGUAGUUUUUAUGAUUCUCUUCAUAUUUUCUUUAUUUUUGAAAUAAUGCAUUGUGCGUGUUGAGAUUAUGGAAGCAAUAAGCAAUUAAAAGUUUAACAUCAAGUUAUUUUUAGGCCUUGUAAUUCGAUUACAACACGUAGCGUGGGAAUUUUUUGGCCACUUUACCAGUUUCAGAGUAUAACUACCCAAAGUCCUUCUUCGGGUGAUAGUAGGAGUCCUUUUGGCUCUUCUGAUUUUGCCUUGCAAGAUCAAAUGUUCUUCAUGAGUCUGGUUUCUAGAAGCUCAAGUGCGCAUUAAAUUUAAAUAACUUGUAAUACAUAAAACAAUGGUAUAACAUAAGGAAUAUAUGUUAUUUUAUAUGUAUUGACACUUCUCAUCCUGAGCUUGCGGUGACUUAAUUAUCAUAAUAAUCUCUUAAUUAUGAUGGCGCAGAUUUGAUGCUGUUAUCCACUUUGCUGGAUUGAAAGUUGUUUGUGAGAGUGUGGCAAAGCCUGGUCUCUAUUAUGAGAACAAUCUAAUUGGCACCAUAAAUCUUUAUGAGUUCAUGGGGAAAUAUGGUUGUAAGAAGGUAUUCUUCUAGCACAUGGUCAUAUAUGUUUAAUUUAGCUAAUAAUUCUAGUAUGUAGGUUUCGCAAUAAAUUGUUAUAGAGGACCUUUCUUAAGUUGACAGGGCAAUUGAUCGGUUCGCUGUGCCAGUAUUCCUUAGUUUUGACUGUUUUAGUUCAAUGUCAGUGUGAAUUCCGCUGGUUUCCUCUGAAAAACUUGAAGAUAGUUUUAGCUGGGUUAGGAGCAGAACAGAUCAUUACCAUAGAAACUCAAAUACGUUGAAGAGGCUUGUAUAGGGAACUAAAAAUUGUACCAGUGAAUCUUAUGAAAUAAAUCAGAUCUUCAAUGCAUAUCAAAGAUGAUAUCCUUCUACCCGAAAAGUGCAACUAUUGACUAAUUUUUGUUUUACGAUUCAUCUGCUAAUUGCUUACAUACAAUUUUGUGCAAAUCCAGAUGGUCUUUUCCUCAUCUGUUACUGUUUAUGGGCAACCUGCAAAAAUACCUUGUGUGGAAGAUUUCGCUCUGGAGGCGAUGAAUCCGUAUGGUCGGACAAAAGAAAGUACCCGCACUUUAUCCUAACACCAUUUAUUUGUUGGACUAGCAUAUCAUGAUUAAGUAGUUUUUCGGCUUAUAGCUCUAAUGCUUUAUUAUAUAGUUUUAGCUUUUUCUUGAAGAGAUAGCUCGUGAUAUUCAGAAGUCUGAUCCAGAAUGGAGAAUUAUAUUGCUAAGAUACUUCAACCCUGUUGGAGCUCGUGAGAGUGGGCUAAUUGGUGAAGAUCCUAAGGGUAUCCCAAACAAUCUUAUGCCUUACAUUCAGCAAGUUGCCAUUGGCAGGUUGCCCGUGUUAAGCGUUUAUGGUGUUGAUUAUCCGACAAGAGAUGGUAGCGCAGUAAGUCUUCUAAGCCUAAUAUUACAAUCGUAGUUCUGGGUUCGUGAUACUCGGUAGUUAAUACAAGUGCUGCAUGCCUUGACCCUCUAACAAACUACACUUCAGUUUGUAUGUCAAUUUAUAAUUUGAUUUUUGGUUGACUACUAUAUUAUUAUACAUAUGCUAUUCUGGUUUUGUAUCAGAUACGUGAUUACAUACAUGUCAUGGACUUGGCCGAGGGCCACAUAGCAGCUCUCCGUAAGCUCUUUUCAACUGACAAAAUUGGUACUCCCCUUACUCUAAUAGCAAAAAUAUAUCUCAAAUUGCAUUUUAUUAUGCAACAAAAAUUUAGCUUAGACUUUCUUUAUUGUUAGGCUGUGUUGCCUACAACUUGGGCACUGGCUCCGGAACCUCUGUGUUUGAAAUGGUUGCUGCAUUUGAGAAGGCAUCUGGGAAGGUGAGGCGCAUUUUCUUUGUUUAACUUCACUAUCUGUGGACACAUUCCACACGGAGUUUCCCUUUUACUCAUCCUUUUUAUUUUUUUGAAUACCCAUCAAAUUGCGACCAAGAAGGCCUGGUGACGCUACAGCAGUAUAUGCUUCUAUUGAAAAAGCUAUAAAAGAACUUGGUUGGAGGUUUGUUUUCGUAUAUAGGUCUUACGGAUCCCUGCAGUCUUAAAUGAUAUGCUUAAAGACAUCAGGACGUGUUCUGGGCGAGCAUAUAUAAUAAGUAGACACUAUUAUAGUGACUCUGUAAUUUAGUAUCUAAAUUUUCUCAAGAAGAUUCUAAUGUGGUUCUUAUGUGUUAAUUGCAGAGCAAAAUAUGGUAUAGAGGAGAUGUGCAGAGACCAGUGGAGCUGGGCUAGCAAGAACCCGAGCGGUUACAGGGCGGACCGAUAAGGUUUGCAGGAUUUGGUCGAUGGAGGGGUUCUUCCCCCUUCUCUUUUCAAUUAAAAACAGGGUAAAACCUGCAUCAUAGUAAGAUGCAGAAAUAAUGAAAAGAUAGAAGAAGCUCAUUCAGGGGUUUGAGAGUUUUUUCUGUUAUGUUUGAAAACAUGUAGAGACCUUAUACAGUUGUUGGGGUUAUUUUUUCCUCGUGAACAAAUUUCUUCUUCGUUCUUUUCUGCGAGCACGGCUUGUUUGGCAACAGCACUUGGUAACGUGCAUUCGGCGUAUAACAUGAAGUUUCUUUGGUGGGAAAGCAGUUGCUUAUGUGACUACGCUGUUCACAAAUGUACAUAGGAGGAUAGAUAAAGAUAGAGAUCACCAAGGAAAUGAACGUUGCGGUGCUACUAUUUCAUAUGCAAAUGAUCUUUAUUCGAGAUUGGUGUGGCGAGCGCGAAGCUGCUCUGGGGUCUGCCCCAGCAGCUCGGCCAACCUCAGCACCACCAUCUCGAACAGCACGAACAUGGCCCCCUCGUACACGCUCCCCAUCGGCAGCCUCGCACCCCCCGGAACUCCCUCCCCCUCCCCCUCCCUUUCCUCGUCGUCGGCCAUGGUCCGCGCGGGGAGGUACGCGACCGCGUCGGCGCAGCGCAGCGCGGCGCUCCCGGCGUCGGGGUGCGCGGUGAGCAGGGCGACGCGGGCGCCCGCGGCCUUGGCGACGGCGCAGAUGGCGUCGACGGUGGCGAAGGCGCCGGGGCCGGCGGAGGCGAGGAGGAGGUCGCCGGGGGAGAUGGGCGGGGUGGUGACGUCGCCGACGACGUGGGCGGGGAUGCCGAGGUGGAAGAGGCGCAUGCAGAGGGCCUUGAGCAUCAGGCCCUCGCGCCCCACGCCGUGCACGAAGACGCGUCCGCGCGACGACGACGACGACGACGACGCCACGGCGGAGAUCUCAGAGACCAGGACCUCGAGCGGCGGGGGCAGGUUCGGAGGAAGAGGAUGGGAGGAGGAGAAUACGGAGCGGAUUUGGUCGCAGAUCUGGGACGCCGCGGCGGCCGAGAGGUCGUGGGCGCCGCUCAUCGCUUAUCCGAAUGCUGUUUGACUAUUGGGUUAAGUUUUGUGGUGAUACAGGAUCUAUGUGUAAUGUUAGCUCGGAGAUUUUUUUUUCUUUGGCGUACGUUUUCGAUAGUCCCAGGUGAGACCGUGAGAUGGAUAAGAAAUUACAGUGAGCCGUGAGAUGGAUAAGAAAUUACUUACAAAAAUAGUACAAAAACUUAAAAAGUUUUUAGUGAUAAUAAUUGAUUUAACCAUUUUGUGUCCAAAAGUGGCCGGAUCCUAAAUAUUUGUUAAGGACUAGUAAGACUCUUUACAAGCGAGUUCAAGUUGAAAGGGUAUAAUCAUUUAUAUUUUAUACACCUUUUUAAUUUUUAUAUAUACUAUUGAAAAUGGUUACUAAAAUACUAUGUUAUCUAAACUAUAUAGACUAAGAAAGUAUACAAUAUAGAAUACUAAAGCAUUACUUUUAAAAUAAACGUUUACUUUAUACAUACUUAUAUCUAUUAAACUAUAAAUAAUUUAUAAAAAAUUAAAGAAAAUAAAAAUAAAAAUAUAAUUAAGCCAAGCGAAUCGAAGUGGGCUACAGACAAACUUAAACCGUAUUAAUAUGCGAACACCCUCCUCUCCCAGUCGACGCCCUAAAACCCUCUCUCUCUCUCUCUCUCUCUCUCUCUCUCUCUUCUUUCAUUUUCGGACACUUCCCCUCUCUUUCUUUCCGCAGCCCCUUCCCCCUCCCAAUCUCUCACUCUUCGACAUGGCUUGCGCUCGAAGAAGCCUCACCUCCAACUUCACCCAACACCUCUCUCGCCGCCUCAUCAACCCUUCCUUCUCCCACCUCCUCCACGAUGAUCGCGACGCCUCCCCCGAACCCCACCCCGCUCCUCCGCCCCCUCCGCCUCCGCGAAACCCUAAAACCCACGCCCGAUCCCUCAACGGCUUCGGCCCCUUUCUCCCUCGCGAUCCGAGAAGCAGCCGCGUCGGAUUCUACACCCCCCUCGGCGUCGAUCCCUUCCUCCGAAGCUAUUCCUCCGCCCCCGAGGGAUCG
rnacentral:lncRNA from 1 species